CCAAUUUUAGAAUGAACUCGAGGUUCACAAGCAUAACUCACGUGUAAGUCUCAUAGGGAAAGUCUCAUUGAACUACUCCCGAGACCGCCUGCGGACAGCACACAGACCGUCCAGACAGCACACUGACUGUCCCUCUAGUGACCAACCUCCGGAGUGCACAGCUUGUGGGGAGCGACCCCUCCAAGCGCAGACAGGCUAUGUGAGCACGAUCACUCACGAUCAACAACAACCUAUCCUCUGAGGGUAAUCUCAUCAUAGAAUCAUGGCGUUCUAAUACCCAAUCUCAGUGUUUCAACUACACUAGGGUUCUCAUGUCAUAAGCUAUCAACAAUCAUAUGCCACUCGUCAUAGUUUUCUAUGUUAGAUGCCACUUGCCACUUGCCAUUUUGACUCAUUUUCAACACUAGUUACAUCAUACUAGUUCUUUAGUAGCAGAAACUUUAAUCAUCUCAUAUAGGGUCUAGGUUUUCAUGCAUACUAGAUCAUGGAUCAAUCAACAAGAUAUAUAUAUAUAUACUAGCAUGCAAAUAUAAGCAACAACAAUCAUCUUCUAACCCUAUAUGAACUUGAGCAAAAAUGCAAUUAGAUCAAUAUUAAACUUAGACAUAGAAAGUAGCCCCGCGGCUUCGGGAAGGUCACCACCCACCUUGUGGUAGUGCCGGAAAGCUAAGAAACUCGGCGUCGCGAUCCACGUGCGCCGCUUCAACACCUGGGUCAAAACGAACCGUAGAGCGACCAAAUCGGCGAUAUCUCCGCGCUCGCUCGUCGGAUCGACGAACCGUCUUCGCCUACGCGUUCGGGAACAUAAUAAUUAGAUUUCCGACCCAUCAAAAUAGAUCAAAACCCUAUAUUCCCAAAAACCCCAAAAUCUAACCCUAGGUUUAGCACCCAUGGAAAAUCAUGGUUUCUAGCUUCAUUGUGAGCUAAAUCCAUGUCCUCUAAACUCAUUAGGUUCCAUUCGAUCCAUUAAAACCAACAAAAAGCUCCCAAAAUCCUAGAAUCUCAUAUUAGGGUUGAGGCUUACCUUUAGGAUUUGCUCCCAAGCAAGCCCUAGCUUGAGGAAGAGGAGGGUGAGAAGCUUCUUCUUCUUCUCCUUGAUCUUCUCCUUCCUUUCCUUCUUCUUCUCUUUCUUUCUCUCCUUCUUUUCUUCUUCUUCUCUUUCUUUUCGGUUAGAGAGAGAGAGAGCUAGGUGAGAGGGAGCGAGAGAGGCUGAGAGUGAGAGAGAGAGAGGCUGAGAGAGGUGUUAUAACCCUCUAAUGUAACAAAAUCCCAAAAAGCCCCUCUAUUUUCUAAAUUUUCGACCAGACCUGCUGUUUCGGGUCCCUUGUACCGGUACACGGGUCCUUGUACCGGUACAAGGCCUGGGUGACAGCCGAACCCGAGUGCAACCCGAGCGCUCGGUUUCUCGGUUUCGACGGGUUUGUACCGGUACAAGAAGGCCUUGUACCGGUACAACACCUGGAACCCUCAAACCCGAGAAACAUUGAUGGUUGUACCGGUACAACCAUCACCCUUGCACCGGUACAACAGCUCCAGAAAGCUAUUUUUCACCUCGCUUCAGCUCUACCUCACGCCGAUCGAUGUCAAAACCAUUCCAACACCUUUGGAACUCAUUUUUGCUCUUCCAAACUUGUUGGAAUGCCGAAUGGAACGUGUCCAAACCGUUCAAUUGCUCACUUUGGUCCAUUUGGCCAAAGUUAGCCAAAUUCCAUCGAGUUCAAUAUCUCACAUGGACUGACUCUCUAGGCAAUGUGAAUAGCUGAAUGCGAGAGUCGAGUCAUGAUAUUUGAGGGUGCCUUAGUAGCCCAGAGUUCCGGUUUUGAUCCGGUGGACCGAGUGGUGAUAGUGGAUCACUAUGGUGAGAAUAGUUUGACGGUCGCCAAAUUCUGGCGAGUUGGUCUUGUAGUACCUCAACCAAUGUAGUGCUUCUGAGCUUUGGAUAGGAUUGGCUUCAAUGUUGGUGACUGGUCGACACAUCUGGUGAGUGUCGGACUGAGUCGGAGUCGUUUCUGCACGAAAUAGAUGCAGAAAUGGACUCGGCACACUUAAAUUAGAAAAAUUAGAGUUUUGCCAGAUUCGGGCGCCUAGAACUGGCUUUGGGUCGCCCAGAAGUUGAGUGCAGAACUGAGCAGAACUGGAAGCCAAUUCGGGUCCAUAUUUCGGGCGCCCGGAUGUGGGUUCGAAAGUUCACCUCGUGAGUAUCGUUUGCGCUGACACGUGGCUGAUGGUAGGUGAGGUCCGCCGGAGCUGGUUAUGGGCGCAGCACACCGCGAGCGGAGAGUUCGAGGAGGAAGCUUUGUGUAGCCUGGAGGAUUCGGGCGCCCAUAAUGUGGGUCCGGGCACCCGGAAGUGCCCGAGUCUGCAGAGACACCAGAUUGCAGCAUCUAUUCUUGGGGCUUAUUCUACCAUUCCAGCACCCUAUAAAUAGGUGGAGAGUGACCCUGGUGAGCUCUUUUCACUCUCUCUUUACAGUAGCACCUCUGAUUUCUCCUCCACUCCUCGAAUUUCCUCAAUUUGCACCCAAUCUUUCAAUUGGAAGGUGGUGGAGUGCUGAUCCUGUAGUUUUUCAGCGACGAUUUUGGUGUUUUGGCUCGUGUGCGACGUAGGAAGGUCGGAUUGCGGUGAAACUUGGUUUGCUGGAUUCUAAACUUCCAGAGGAAUCCACGAAGCCCAGAAUUUUAGAUUUUGGUUGAGGUUAGCUUGGUCGAUUCUAUAUUUUUCUGGACUGCUGGUGACUUUGAUCUAAAAAUCUGUUUUCUUGGGUAUUCUUGAUGCUAUUCUUGGAAGGAGUGGGAUUUUGGACCUGAGGUUGAUACUCCAUCAUUAUUCACUGGAUUUGAAACUUGCCUCACCUGAAUUGGAGAUUAUUAGGUGAAUUUUGAUAUUGGAGUUGAGACAAUGUAAGCUUAAGUGUUGAAAUUUGGUGAAUUGAUGGAUUUUGAUGGAUUUUGGGUGUAGAUCCUUUGAGUAGCUUUGUUGCUGGUUGUGGGUGAUCUCGGCUAAGGCUACCAGCAUUUGUGACCUUCUUGCUGCCAGGGAAUUGCUCUAGAGGUGGGUUUAUCAUUGGUUUUGCUCCUAAGUAUAUGUACAGUAACAUGUAUAGUUUCGACUUCAGAAUAUCAUGUUGUAGCUCAAAUUCAUCGAUUGGUAUAAUAUAGGAAAUCUGAAUUUGGAGCAUGAAUAGUAAUUAGUUGAAUAUACAUGUUGGACUUGGAACUUGACUUAGGAGAAAACCAGCGAUUCGACCUGUCAUAUGAUUCUACUACUUGAUUUAGCUCUAGGAGCCGUGGUUUGAGUGUAUCACUGCUGUUUCAGCGCGAUGGAUACCCGGGGUAGUUUAGAAUGCAUUUACGCUUGUCCUAGGAUGCCGAGCUUAUUUUAUAGCAGAGUCUAGGCUGUUUCGGGUUGUCGGGUGCCGUCGGGGUGGACGGUGGACCCAGAUUUUUGGUCUCAGAUUGUGCCGAGGGCACGUGGGUUUCGUUUCUAGACCUGUUUUGACCCUAGCUACUUGACUUUGGUUUGUUAGAGCCUAAUUGAGCUCGACAGAGAUACGUUUGCAUACUCGGUUGGGUAGCGCCCACGAGUGCCACCGGAGUCGGGCUUAGUGCGUUUGCGUUUGUGUCGUUCGUGCAGGUUGGACUUGCUCUCUACGAACUGGUUAGUGUGGAGGUAGCUGUAUAGUUGCGACCAGGCGGGAUGGGUGUGUUCACGUCCCAGGGACGGGUAUGAUUACAGUCCUUAUUUGAGAUUGGGUCUGUGUUGACAUUGUACUACAGAGGGUUAGAGUUAAAGCAUGAUAGUAUAGCGAUAUUUAGCUGUAUAUUUGUUCCAGCUUUCUUUACUAUUCCUGCUUAUCCCUGUAGACUUAGUGGGUGGACCGAUGAGUUUGAGGGCGGUACCCACUGAGGACUACUUGUUUUUACAGUAGUUCUCACACCUUGUUGUUACCACUGUUUUGCAAAGCCGUCGCCUUCGGCUGCUGCUGUUGCUGAUCUUGAUUGUGGCAAAGGUGUCGCGAGUUAGAGCCCUUCUAGUCGAGUCGCAGAGCUAGAGGAGCUCCAGCUACAGGUAGUUGUAGUUUUUGGGUCUUUACAUACAGUUAUUAUAUCUCGCCAGAGCGAGUGUUUAUAUACCUGGAUGACAUGUAUGUAUUGAACCACAGUUUAUAUAUUUGGUUUAUUUUUCUAGCUGCUCUAUACUACUGUUUGUGGUAUUGUAUGAUUACAGGUACUACUUUUUCGCUUCGUAUACAGAGGAAUUACCUAUGUAUACGGCGGGUCUGUUAGCGAGCCCGAGGAACGAGUAAUCCGGGACGUGACAACCAAGGUGGGGGAAAUUGUGCUCACGUACUUGUGAGCAUAGGCAAGGUUGCCUAGUGCUUGAUUUAAAAUGGAAAGGCGUAAGACGCUCGAGUAUAGGUACUCGUGGAGUGCGAAUUUGGUUCAGCCUAGAGAGUGUGUUGGCAGUAGCACUUGAGCGUUGCUAGGUCUAAAGUAGGUCAUGGAUCACUUGUAGUGCUAGUGGCUCUCACUAGGUUCUUAGGAGCCGAAAGAGAUAUGUAUUGCUCGGCAGAGUGUGUCGUGAACGACGACGAUGGCGGAUAUUACUUGAAGACGAUCCGUGCCUCGACCAUUUGUGGACUGUAGAGCUUGGGGUCAUGUGGAUAGGCGUAGUCAGCUGUGUGGGAGAGCGGCCCGAUACCUAUGGGUAGGGCAGAGGUUUGUUGAGGUCACGCCUCCUAUUCCUGUGAGCUCCGGAGUUGUAUCACAGUGAGAUUAAGACAGGAGAGAGAGGCAUGACGAUGCGCUCCAGGCGGACGAGUCACGUGUUGACAGGCGAGUGCGGUUCGACCAACCGGCGGCGAACUGCUUGGAUUUGGAUCAAGGCAUGUUCAUGGCAUUUCAUAUAGUGAUGCAUUAGAACAUUGAUAGUUAACAUUGUUAAAGAUAUAGUAGAAUCUUGACAUAUUUGGUAAAGGCAUAGUGAUACAUUUGAAGCAUGAUAUAGAUGUAUAUGUGCAUGUUGGGCUUAUUGUUUCUAUCUUCCUUAUCAUAUUGACCUUUCUAUUGUCUCUAUGCCUUCUUAGACCUAGUGAAAAAAUUGGAGGGGUUGGCAGCCAAACCCACUGGGAACUUUGUUUGGUUUUCACACCCUGUUUUCCAAAGCCAAGCGCGAGCGCAUUCAUCGAGGACGUGGCUUGGGCGUUGAGCCCUAGAUAGUGUGGACCACCGGGACUAGAUUACUACCCCUAUGCAUAGCAAGAAAAGAAAAGAAAUGCAUAACCCUUUGUGAGAGAUUUUGAGAUGAAAUAAUGGCGUAUAUGUGAGAUAUCCUUUUGUAUAUAAAGGAGAUGUCAAUUUGUAUGUAAAUGAGAAGUUUAAAGAAUUUAAAUGUGAAAAUGCGAUGUAAUAGAUAGCUUUAUUUCUCUCGCAUCUGUGUAUACCUCUUGCAAAUAUUUUGUUGCUAAUAUCUCCUGUGUCGGGUUGUGACAACACAUGUCCACACGCAUCUACGGUCUACACUGCACCAAGUACACCAAAAAUAGCUUAAGGACAUGUGUCAUAUCUUGAUCUGGAUGAUCUCCACCUUUAUUUAUAAAACACUGAAAGUAUCUACUAGUAAGCUUCAUAACAAUACAAAUAAACUAGUUCUGUUUUCUACUCCAAAACUCGUCUAAAUUUUAAAUAUUUCGACUUCAACUUUUAGUUAAUCUAUUCUUUUAGUUCUAAAACUCUAGACUAGCUCCUCCACUUAUAUGAAGUUUACUCUACUGAUAAAAGACAGUUCUUAAACCUUAACAUGUAGUUCACUGACGUGGAAUAUGUGGAGUUAGAUUACCUCAACGACUUGCGUUUUUAUCUUGAAACUACCUAUACCAUUUAAGCUACUAAUAAUCAAGUCCACGUGGGCUCUUGAACACCCCCCUUCGAAACUAAAGACGUACACACUAAAAUUUAUCCUAAGGGGUGUUCUUAAGAUUAUAAAGAGGAAUACUCGAAACCUUUCCAUCCUUCGGAUUAAACUUAAUAAAAUUUCACACCCCCACGGAUCGAUUUCAAUUCUAUGGACUCUUGUUCUUUUCCUUCUAACCAGGAUUCUGACAUCUAUGUCAAAAAUAUCCGAAACGAAAUCUAUCAUUGUGGUUGUCUAAAGAUCACCACUUAAGACUCUAUUCACUCUAAAGAUUAUUAUGGUAAUAACUUCGAUCUCUACGUCACAUAAAACUCCUAUAGAAAGGAAAAUCCUGAUCUCAUCUAUCUGGAUGAGGUCAACUCAAAACACAGGAUGAUCAACUUCUAUGAGGAAGAUGGAAACUGGUUCGAUACUUCAGACAUCUACGUAGGAAAACCUUUCUCCGAUAAUUAGAACUCUACGUUAGAUAAGAUGUCUUAGUAUGAACCCUUAAUCGUCUAAAUGGAUAUCCUACAUUCGGACAUCCGACAUCUACCUAGAAAUUCUUCUUCAACUCUGGACUACCAAGACAUCUAUUCAUAUUCCGAUCUGAUCACCGAGUUCCAAAACGUGUCUUCGGUCCACAUCUAAUAAAACUACACAUACGUGGACAACGAUCUUAAUGGAGAUAGUCCUAUAACAACCGGAAUCGAAGACAGGUGUCAAACUAACACGUAGUCUACCUACAAUUCUGUCGAAAAGACUUACCACUAAAUCUACUCCUCUAGAUAUACUUCGUUGGACUUCCUAAACAUCAAAGACCUGUAUUUUUAUUUCACACGUUUAACUGCUCUAGAAAUAUACCUGAAUUUGUUCGAGGAUUCGUCACCGUGAACUUUAAACUAAGAAAUCAACAUAGUUUACCUAAAGUACAUUUGUACAGACUACUUACACAUAUAAGUUUCCUUAUACUACAUGUCUAACACUAGGACACAAAUAUACAACUACUAUAAAACUAAAAACCAUGGUUAUAUUUACACUAUGUACUACACUUCUUUAAUGACUUACUCUUAAAACUAUACUUUCUAGAACCCGUUCGUCUACAUUAAGAGUUAUACUUCUAGUAAUCUCUUAGUUUUCUUUAACAAUACUCGGUUAGUGUGAUAUCACUUGUCAAUAACUUCUUCAAACCUAUAAAACUACAAUUUGGACAUCACUGUGGAAUACUAAGAUCACAUGUAGAAUUCUUCUUAUCUCCACUAGGUUAACCAGUCUUAUCUAUACGUGUCUAAUAUCCUAGAAACCCUAUAGAUCAUCUGAUAUGAUCUGGACUAUACCGAAUACGACAUUUGUCUAACUCUUCUAUAUGGGUAUUAGGCUUAUCUCUAGUAACCUUAUGAAAUCUUUCUCAAAACUCCAUAGAUUUCCCUUGAUAUAGAAUACCUAAUGUAAUGUCACUGAAAGGACGUCAUGAUCUUCCUAUAUCACUACGUUUAACCUAAUCACUAUGUCGACUACAUUUCAGAUGAUGACCUAAAUAAAAAGAGGAUCCUCCUCGUCGACAAAGAACCUUCAGUUGGUUUGUUAGAAACUAACGAUCUUCAUGAUACCUUAGACUUGAAUAUCGUAAUCUAUGGUGACAUUUUCUCCGAUUCACCUAUUCUCUUAAAGAAAUACUAAACGGUGACUACCUCGCUGGAAAUCGUGAUCACACAUAAGUAACACUAACAUCUAGACGUUAACUAUUUACACGGGUUCUCUUACACCUCUGAUUCUACUUAUCUAAAUACUUUCACUCUGUAUUCAAGUAAGCUGUCUUAUACUUCCUCUUACAUUAACGAAACCUUAAACACUCUAGACGUUUCUUAGACCGACUAGUCGAGUGGUUCCCUAACAGAUCCUGACACUAGGAUCUUAGCAGCUCCCCCUACCCCGACUCGGGUGUUACUUUCAAUGGCCGCUGCCGUUGGGUUGGACAACGUCCAAGUUACCCAUCUUUGUUCAGCUUGUCCAUCGACACUCCUCGUGACAAAAACAUAGGAGUAGGGAUACCGCUGUCACGAGUAAAGACGUUCACCUAUCCUUCCCGAAAUCGGGACUUACCAAGGCUCUGGGUACUCCGUCCCACACUGGAAUGUCUGUGGGAAGACUCCUGGAUGAUACACACACCUCAACACUCCGGCGUUGAUACCCUUCUCCCGCCAAGGGAUUUUGUGUGUACUUUGCUAUGAUCGCGUACCGGCAUUAUCGCGAGUGGGCGAAUCUUGGAUGUAUCGACAUGGUACACACGCCAAACACCUUUAGGCUAAGUGGCCGGAACCAAGUUCCGCUUCAGGUGGUAACACAGGAGCCUACAUGUAUCUGUUCGUGAUUCACUUCCAAGUUUGGGCUUUCCAUGGAAGCGGCUUAUGCACCAUAUUCUCUAGGUCGUAGGAAAACUCAAUAAAAAAAAAAAACUUAAAGUCAAAAGUAAAAACUUCAAAAUUUAGUACACCCCCUUACAAUCAUAAAACUAAAUUUUGUUCACUAAAUUUUGAAGAAAUAUACGAGUAUACAAAAUUUUGAAGUUAAACCGGAAACCUGAAACACCCGUCGGGUGACAGUUACCCGGAACGGACCCUCGGGUUCGAAACCAGAGAAAAGUACACCACAAAUCAGGGUGUAACCUUUCUCUGGGAGUGAACGAGACCAAAUAUAAGAUGAAAUAAGAGUAACAAUAAUGAACCCUUCACUACUCUCACCUCGAGAGCAGAUUUAUGUGCGUGCGCGCGUGCCGUGCUCGUGCUCGGCCCGGCCCGCCGCCGCGCGCACUUGGGCCAAGUAAAAUAAAAACAAUGUGAAAAGAAUAAAAUAAAAACCGGAAUGGACCUAAUCCAGGUCUAAACCAGGUCAGCUUUCCAGCGUGGAGCCCUGAGUUGGUCGGGGUUGCCAGAUGGAGCCCUUCCACCAGAAGGGCAACCUUGGGAAGAAAACGAGAGGAUAAAUGAUCCCACUCACCGACCCAAUCCUGUUAUCACUGUAUGUCUUUGGGAUCGGACUCGAAGAGGGGAAAAGAGAGAAGAAGUGACAAAACGACCUAGAGACUUUUCGACACUGCCAAGCAAGAACGCGGUGGGACUUCGGCACGGCUGCCCCACCUGCUUCCAGCAACAUAGCGAUCCUCACUAACGGCCGCGGAGCAUGCACCUCCCCGUUAGAACGAAGAUCCUGUCACGUUAGCGUGCGGAGCUGAGUGUCCGAGGUAGAUUAGGAAAUAAGAGAUAUCAAAAAUAAAUAAAGCAAGAAUUAGUUGCAAAGAUUUUUGUCACUUAUUCAACAAAAGUUUGUUUUAACAAAUAUGUUUAUAAACUGAUUUCUAAAGUUUUCUCUUGAUUAAAAAGGUUGUGGUGGAUGGUGGUAGUAGAGUUGGAGUGUAGAGAGGUAGGUUCCCGAUGUUUGUGUGUUCAUAGUGAACCCAUUAUGAAAAUGUUCAUAAGAUCGAGAUGAGAGAGAGAGAGAGAUAUAUAUAUAUAUAUAUAUAUAUAUAUAUAUAUAUAUAUANUUUUUCAUCCGAAGGCUAAAAACUUAUGAGUACAAGGAACUCUAUACUCAUAAGAUUAUAGCAGCCCCAGCCUAUAUAUAUAUAUAUAUAUAUAUAUAUAUAUAUAUAUAUAUAUAUCGAGAGAGAGAGAGAGAGAGUGUGUGUGUGUGUCUAGAGCUACUAUACUAUCGAAAGCAUAGAGGAUUUGGUGCUUCCGACUUUUUGGCCCUUAGAUCAACCCCUUUGAUCAUUUGUAACUUUUGGAUUAAUACUAUUACCCUAUGGGGACCACUCAACCCUAAGGGUACCACUCAACCCUAGGGGGACUGCAAUCAGCCGAACCGUACAAUUCUUAAUCCAAGGGUCAAAAAGUCGGAAGUAUCAAAUUCUCUAUGCUCCCGAUAGCAUAGUAGCUCUACACACACACACACACACGUAUAUAUAUAUUAUGCAUAUUAUAGAUUAUAGAUUCUAUGUACAUUCGAAAAUGGGUAUAAAUCUUACACUUUUUAUUUUAGCGUUAAUAAAAAUUUAAAUAAUUUUUAGUAAAAAUUAAAAAAGUAGAUGUGAUAAAUAAAAAAUUAAUAGCCUUUGGACAGAGUGGGUAUAAGAUGUACACUUUACUCUCGGGUGUAUCAUAGCAUUGCUCCUUACUUUAAGAAAAACUUGUAUAUAUACCCCUAACCUUUAGCUCUUUUUCGAACAUAUGCAUAAAUUUUUAAUUUUGAUAAUUUGACUCUCUAACUUCGUCAACUAGUUUAACAGGUUCUCUGUUCAAUUGAAAUUGUCAGUAACGCAUCUAUUUUAAUUAUAUGUCUUGCAUAUAAUCUCUAACUAUUUUUUUUAAAAAAAAUUUAACUUUUUAUUCUAACAUAUAAAAAAGCCAAUAAAAGUUAACGGAGGUUCAUCUUAUGUCUCAAUGCUCAUACUUAAUUAAAAAAAAAUUUUUGAAAAAAAAGACUUUAAUAUCUUAUAAAAUUAUGCAAACAAUUUGCCACAUAAUGACUAUAUUAUCAGUAACAUCAAUGGAAGAGAUGGGUUUAUUGACUUACAUAUUAGGGCUAAUUGCAUGCAACUCCCAAUAAACACAGCGAAUUAUAAAUAUAUUCCUACAAUUUAUUAUGUUAUUCCUGCAAAAGUCCUAAUAUUUUUAAAUAUACCCCUGCCAUUAGGAUCCGUUAGAUAAAUUUAGCUAACCAUAAGUAAAAUACUUAAUCCGGUUAGUCGAUGAGGUAAAUAGAUAUUUUCACCCCUCUUAUAAUCCUAUUAACUAACUACCUGAUGGGCCUCUAACCCUAGUUGAAGUAGGACCAAACCAGCGUCAAAGCAAUCCUGCGAGGAGGCCUCAUGUAAACUUUUCACUUUCUUCUGAUGAUUAAUCUAUAGUUCAAUAUAUUCUGUGAGGGAAUGAGAACUUUUUUUUUCUCUUCUUUUUCCUCUUCCUCUCACUCCCUCAUGCUAGUUUCGAAUCCAUAAUUACUAGGGUUUCUCCAUCCCCAUUCAUCAACGAGGGGUAGAAGAAUAAGGUGAGUAUGCUACUGUCACGCCCGGGUACCAGCGGAAGCAUAUCCGGCACGUGCACAGACCCGCCAUACACCUGCAGUAUAUAAGGCGUCUACAAGCAACACAAGUCGAUAGGAAGUAAAACAAAGAAAGUCCUAUCCUGAUAUCAGAGCAAAGUACAAGUCAAAAUACUAUCAACAAAAGGGCAAGAGUGUACAAUCCAAAAGCUCAACCAAAAGAUGAGUAUCACAACUAAAACAUCAGAUCCAAACAGGAGAUAUACAAAAAUAGGUACAAUGGUAGCCUUUCUAUACAAAAGGACAUCACCCUCGGCCGUAGCCCGAGUAACAAGGUGAUCGACUAGCAUGCUCCUAGUAGUCCCUAGCUAGGCGCGACUCCCUUGCCACGAUCCCUAGCCUCUCCUGUAACAGGCUCUGUAAAAACAACCACCAAAAGGGCGUGAGAACUAUUAACAAUAGUUCCCAGUGGGUAAGCCGCCAGCCUCGGCGAAUUACACCACUAGGCUCAUGAUGUACUAAAUGGAAAUAAAAGCAGUAAUUUGCAUGAUAUAUUUUCAAUGCUAACAAUUAAUGAACAUGUAAGCAACAUGUAAUCAUAGUCUCAACAGUAAUGAAUCUACUGAUUAAUAGAAGGAUAGCAACUACUAUAAGCAUGAACAUAGCGUAAAUGUGUAAGUAACUACUGUACACUGUAACUGGUAAUCAUUCAUUACUGUCCAAUUUCCUUUAGCACUUUUCAUCCAUUCACAGGGAUCUACUCAAGGUAGUCCAGCUUGCGCCGCGCCUAAUGGCCCCGUGGUAGUAUACACUCCCCACGGCAAUCCACUUCGGCACCCAAUCCCGCACGGGCGAGCAACUGUCGCGUAGGCCAACUCCGGAGUGCCGGCUUGUAGGGAGCUACCCUCACAAGCGUGUGCGAAUGAGCACGAUGGCAAGCAAGCAAAGUCCACUAUCCACAUGUCUCAAUUUUUAUAUUUUCACAUGCAAAGUUCAGAACCCUCGAUCCUCUGAUCGGAAUGUCAAUACACAAAUAGUAACAAAAGCUAGUAUCCACUAGAUUGUAAACAUAUAAGGGUAAAGCUAAAUCACAUAGCAUUAUAAUCUUUCCACUAGUAUAGCACUAUCAACAUAGUCAUGAGCAUGUCAUAGUUCUCUAUAUUAGAGUCAAGAGAAUGUCAUUGUUCUUUACUUUAAAGUGCAUCCUACACUUGUUCAUAAGCCAUUCAACUAUAUUGAAUAUGAAUAGAAAUACUUUCAUGUAUAUAUGUUCUCUAUAUCAUAGAAACAUAAUAAACUGAUCUCCCGAUUGUUCUACUGAACUAAACAAGAAUACUUAAAGCAUGAGUACUUUUAUGCAUGAACGCUCAUUUCACAUAUGAUAAACGUCAUGAUGACGAAUUCCGAGCCCUUUAGCAAUCACAUAGGCAUAUAAUUAAACCGCGUCUAUAAUACAUAUAGAACAUAGGGGAGCUUCACUUGCUCUGGUUAGGUCAAACCCACCUAGUUCAAGGCUCCAAACAGUCCAAAGGAGUCCCAAGGAUCAGCUCCACAAGGCUCCAAUCCUGCUGAACACAAGCAUCAACACCGCGUCAAAAUGACGACCGAAACGUCCGAUUUCGGCCUAAUUUGCACUUAGUACAAAGUAACCCCUUAAAUCCCUAUUUGGGCUCUUGUAAUACCUCAAGUGUAACCUCCAAGAGUCCUCACAAGUCAGUCGAAGACGAUCCAAGGCUCGAUCGCGAUCUUGCUGCGAACAAUACCGAAACGGCGUCGCAAUGCUCGUAUAUAAGCUUCUAUGGUUCAAUUCUUGCGAAAUUGAAUUUCUAAUGGAAAUUCCUGCUUACCCUUGGUUAGAGCAGCUUCCAAACCAGCUUCCAAGAGUGCAAGUUCAGCUCAAAAAGGCACAAAGACCUGCUGCGAAGAGAUCAUACAAAACAACGUCAAUUACGCGAUUAAACCGCGUAUAGUUCCGAAUUAGCUUCAUAAAUGGCUAAUUAUGCCAAUUAAGCUUCCAAGUAGCUUAUCCCAGAUCUAAGAGGGUUAAUUCUCAGCUAAAUAACUCAUAUAUACAUGCUGAAAUCUCAGUUUAAAACAGUUGGAAGCAAAAUCCUGAAAUCGAUACUCAAAUCGACGAAUAGAGCGCCGAUAACGGAAAAAAAUCAAGUCGUAUACCUUCUCAAGCUGGCAACCAGCUCCUUACUGGUCCAGGGCUGCAAAAAUCCCUUCAAAACGCUCUCUUGCACGUGCACAAAGGUGCUGCGACGCUCGCAACCAGCGAAGAACGCGCGCGGCGACGAAAACGAGCGAAAUCGGCGAAUUCGAUGUAGAGAGAGAAAAACCCUAGAGAGAGAGAGAGAGAGAGAUGGUAGAACACUCCUCUGCACUCCAGCAACAUCCACAGAGCUCCUGGGGUCGAGCUGGGUCCAUAAGAUAGGGAUCAAGAUGUGAAAAGACCAAAAUAGCCUUGCUGCCACGAAUUGCCACUGUGUACCGGUACACCAUUGCGGCUGUACCGGUACAGCAAGCAGAAAAGGCUGAUUUUCGCCAGUUCAAUGCACUUUCCCACUUCUCGCAUUCCAAACAUUCUCUAACUUAUCCGAACACUUGUUCUACCCUUUUAGAACAUGUAGGAGUGAUCCACACACCAUUCCACAUACUCGAACUCCGCAAUUUGCAAAAGUUCAGUGUAUUACAGCUACAUACUAUAAAUCCAAAACUUGUUUAAUCUAAUUGUAAUUUAGGUUAUUUUGUUGUAACGUAAGUUAAUUUUGGAAUAUCUUGAUGUAUUUUAUGUUACUUUUAGAACAACUUUGGUCUCAUGACGUAGUAAUUUAGCAUAUUUUUGAGAAAUGUGUAAUAUUUUUUAUAAAUCAUCCAAGCUGGCAAAGUAUAACAAUUUCAUUGUCAUCUUUACAAAAAGUAUACAAGGACUAGUCAUUAUUAUUUAUCUUUUUUGUUACUAUAAUGGCAAUUUGAUAAUAUGGAUGAAGAUAGUAUUUUUCAAGUGAAGUUCAAUUAUGUUGGGUAUAUUAAAACAGUGAAAACUGCUUGUGGACUCAGAUAUUGUGAUGGCAAGAAGAAUACAUUGAUGAUAGAUCAUGAUAAUUACAAUCUCAUCGAAUUUUGUCGAGAUCUACGAUCACUGUGGGAUUGGAGUGUUCCAGAUAACAUCAAGAUAUGGUAUGUAGCAAGAAAUGUUAACCAAAUAGGUUCGUUCAAAUAUUCACUAAGCAGCAAUUCAUGGCUAUAUUUUUCAUAUAAAAUGAUAUAAAGAAGUGAAAAUAUUUAUAACCAUUUAGUCGCAAGGCAUUCCGUUAAACUAUAUUCGUGGAGAAACUAGUUCCUAAUGUGCAAGACACCAACACUCAAGUGCGCACAAGAGAGCAAUGUUGGUAUGAAUGAUGAUAACAAUGUGGGUGUUGUUAGUGAAGGUGGUCAAGUUGCUGAAGAAGCAGAUAGUGAAGUUGUACGUUGGUGAAGUUCGUGAAGAAGUAACAGCUGAAGAAGCAUUUGGUGAAUCAUAUGCAGUGUUAACUGAAGAUAGCUUUUGUUCUCUUAAAACUGAAGAAUACAUAUCAUAUAUAUUGAAGUAUUUUCAUGUGAUAAGAAUAACCCUAUUAUGGAUAUAGGAGCAAAAUAUCCCACUAUAGCUUCAUUUAGGGAUGUGCUGACUUAUUUUGCCGUAUUAAAUGAGUUUGAGUAUAAGCUACAAAAAAGUGAUCUUUUGAGGGUAACUACAAGAUGCUCAAAAUCUUAAUUGCAAUUGGCAAAUCCAUGCAUCUUAACUUCCUUUAGUUUUUCAAGUAGUACCAACAUUAUUCUAUUUUUUUAACGUACUUUUAGUAUCAUUCAUCUAUAAAUAAUAAUUAAUGACAUGUCUAACUAACAUUUUUAUAUUAUAGGUAAAAACUUUACAAGGAAAGCACACAUGCACAUCUAUCAAUCUGUAUCGGAACAAAGUAGCAACACAAGCUUGGGUAUGAAUAAGGUUAUUGAGUGGCUAUGGUUGAAAAGAGAUUUGUCUAUAAGCGAAUUGCGUAAAAGACUACAAUAAAAAUAUCAUGUGGACUUGGCCUACUGCAAGGUCUUUAGGGGGAAAAGAAAUGGCAAUAUCUAAAAUCCAUGUGAAGUUGAAGCUGUUGUAUUAAAGAAUUUUUUUAUUUUAAAGAAGAAAUUAUUAGAAGAAAUCCUGAUAGCCACAUGGAGGUAAAGCUACAAGUUAUUAAUGGAGACAUCAUUUUCAACAAAUUUUUUCUUGCAUUUGGUAGUUGCAUACAAAGAUUCCUCACUUGGAUGUAGACCUUAUAUUGUAUUAAAUGGAUGUCAUCUCAAAGAAAAGAAUAGAGGAGUGCAUAUAUCGGCUACAAGUAUUGACGAAAAUAAAUUAAUUUUUUCAGUAUCUUUUGGUAUUGUGGAGUCGAAGAACUCCAACAGUUGGGAAUGGUUUCUUCAUGGGUUGAAGACUGCUAUAGGAGAACCCGAAGGCCUAGUGUUCUCCUCGAAGAGACAUAAAGAUUUGGAUGAGGCCGUUCAAGGAGUGUAUCCAAGAAUUGAACAUACAGAAUGCAUGCGUCAUUUGUAUAGCAACUUCUUGGAGAUUGCUAAUAGAGACAAUUUGUGGGCUACAGCAAGAGCAUGUACACCUACUGUUUAUGAAGCUAGCAUUGCUAAGGUGUAUGAAGCAAACCCAAUGGCUAUUGCAUAUAUGCGAGAGAACCAUGGCUAUUUGCAGAGUUGAAGUAAAUUCGGGACAAUUGCUAAGCGUGAUUACUUAACUAAUUAUAUUUCUGAAUUAUUCAAUGCAUGGAUUUCUAAUGGUAGGCAUAGACUAUUGAUUGACAUACUUGACACUAUCCAACAAAAAUUAAUGGUCAAGAUGGAGAAGAGAAAAAAUAGACCAAGAAAGUGGGAUCAACAGUAAUCAAAUAUGUAAACAAGAUCAGCAAGGUAAUUUAUUUACAUUACACUGAUUUUUUCCUUUAAUUUUAAGCAAUCUUGGCUAUGCUAUCUUCAUGUUCGAUAUGUUAGAUAUGUUAGAUAAUUUAGUUUACCUAAGUAAUUUAGUUACAUCUUUUCAUAUUCUAAUUAAUUUUCACAUUAGAUAAGCUAUGUUGUUUAAUCUUCACAAUUUUUAGGGUUUUGGUCAAGAUGAGGCGUUAUGGAGUGAUAAGUUUUCAGCAAAAUUAGUUGGACCUCAUUCAAGAUUCGAGGUUAUACUGCAUAACACGCAGUAUAGCUACAGAAUAUGGCAAGUAAAAGGUGUGCCAUGUAUUCAUGCAAUGGCAGUAGUAGGUGACUUAAGAUAUGAAAAGUGAAAAAAAAUAUGUGCACCCAUAUUUUACGGAGGCCAAAUAUAAGGAGGCCUACGCUGCAUCUAUUGCACCAUUGCCUGCGAUGAGUGAGUAAAGAUUGACAUCAGUCAUCGUGUAUUACCUCGUAUUUUAAAUAGGCCAGCUGGAAGGCCUCAAUAAACAAAUUAGAAUAUUAGAUGAGAUGUUAAUCAAGAAGAGGUAUUGAUGCAAAAGAUGCAAGCAAUAAGGCCACCGUGCAUAAACAUGCAAGAACCCUUUCAAUGCGAAUCUGCACCCUAAAGUACCAUCUCAAGUAGGGAAUUAGCACCCUGAAGGACCAUCUCCAGUAGGGAAUGCGCACCCUAUAGCACCAUCUAAAGCAAGGAAUCCGCACUUCGAAGCACCAUCUCAAGCAAGUACUAGUAGUGGCACAAGUACUAUGUUGACUAACAAAGUUCACUUUUAAUUUAUUUUCUUUGCUAUAUUACUAACUACUAAAAAAGCUACAGGUGUAGAGGAAGGAAGCUAGCAUCAAGAUCAAGAUGGAUAACAGGUGAAGCGACAAUCUCACGGUCCUAACAAAGAAGUGCCAUAAGUGAAAUUAAUGCAAUGGGUUGUCUAGAAAAUCAAGAUUUAAUUUAGUGAAACAAUUGAUGUAGUGAAAGAAUUAGUUUUUUUUAUUUUUGGUUGGUUUGAAUAGAUAUACUUUGUUACAGUGAGUACUUGAAAUGGAUGUAACUUUUCAUAAACUAUCUGUUUUUUGGAUAUUUUGAAAAAUGUGGGUAAUUUGGUGGGUAAUUAGAAUAAGAUUCCUGGAACAACUUGGUUAUGCUUGUAUGCAAUAUUUUGGUUUGAAUAGAUAUGAAACUUGAUACAAUAGUUCUGAAAACUUCAAUUCGAAAUAGUUGUUUUGGUUUGAAUAGAUAUGAAACUUGAUACAAUAGUUCUGAAAACUUCAAUUCGAAAUAGUUGUUUUGGUUUGAAUAGAUAUGAAACUUGAUGCAAUGGCAUUGUCUUUGUAUUGAACUACCAGUUGUUUCCACACUUGUAAUGGAUGUAAUUUGGUUUUACUUGCAUGGUCCAUUGUGGUUUUAAUAGAAGUGUAAGUUAUGAAUAAUAUUAUGUUUGUAUGGAACUACUAGCUUUUUGGAUACUUUGAAUGGAUGUAAUGUAAGGACUAAGAUUUUGGCAAUGUAGCUAAACUCUCUGUUGAUGAUUUUUUUGUGUGUAUUUUAAUUACAAAAGCACUCAUUAAGUUUCGAGAAAAAAACGAGUUAGAAUGGAGAUCUUACGUGAUCUUUACUUUUCACUUAAAGUGAAUAGUAACCCGAAUUUCCGAAAAAGCCAAUGAAUAGAGUUGGCUUCAGGCACGCACCGGACUCCGUUCAUAGUGAUCCAAUAGCUCGUUUUCAACGGUUCGUCUACCCCGGAUCCAAAGGCACUGACGGAUGUUGGGUUUGACACAUGGAUUUCAAGAAAAUCUGGAUAUACAUAUACUCUAUGUAUUUGUGCGUGGUUUUGCCUAUUGGAGAGAGGAUGGAUUUCUUCGCGAAUCAGUGACCAAACCAAGCAAAACAAAAUAGUAGGUUUGAUGUCUUUAUCGUGCUGAUCGAACUAGUGCGAUCUAUUCGCAAACUUGACGGACGGAUCUUCUGAUAUUGCACGUUGAUCGAGGAGUGGUCUUAAAUGGCAAAACGGUAAUUUUGCGAAAAGCUCUACAUUUUAUGUACCAUUUUGCGUGAAAUCGAAUGUGGGGGUGUAUUCGCAUGUUUACUCGUGUUGUGAGGGAGUCGGUUCUAAAUAUCAGAGUUUGGUGGACUUAAACGCAAUUUACACUUUAUGUAUAUAUAGCUACCUAGGGUUUGCAUGGUGCAAACCCUAAUCCUUGACUAGCUCAGCUGAUCCCAGCCGCCCCUCCUCCCUCACCUCGUGUGCCGCGCGCCUCCCUACCGUCGCCAACCGAUCUUCGAUCGGCCAGCACACCCUCAACUACUUUUCUCCCUCUCCAUCUCCUUUUUUUCCACCAUCUUCUCUACCCAACCUUAAACUUGAGCUCAUGGAGAUCAAACCCUUCUCCUUCGGCCACCUCCACGCUCCCUCGACCUCUGGUGGUCGGCAGCUAUCGAGCCCGACCAUCCUCAUCCGUCGGCGCCACCAUUUUUGCCAUGGAUGCCACAUCGGGCUAGUCCUGGCUGAGGUAGCCCCAGCCCCCUUCCUUUGCGCUGCCGACACCUGAGGCCGCCCCUACCGCCUCCCCCGGAGCCCUGGCAACCGUCCUCGCCGGCCGCAGCCACCCCGUGCGCCGCCUUGCCAAUGCUGCCAACCUAUGGCCAGCCGAGGCUGGUGUGGCCGAGCUCUGCAGCACCGUGCCCUCAGCUGCCGACCACCGUCCCCAUCCCUUCCCCUCGGUCCCAGAGGAAGCCUCACCCUUUCCCUGGCCGGUUCGACCGUCGCCGUGGCCGGAGAAGCUCGCCGAGCUCGAGCUCGACCUGUGCAGGCUCGGUUUGCUCCGCCGCCACCGUCGCGAGCCCUGGCCUCCCCACGUUGGCCGCACCCAUCGGCCGCCGGCGUGUCAACCGUAGAGCCACCGCCAGCCAUGCCCUAGCUCCCACUGCUCCGGUAAGCUUGUCAGGGUCUUUUGGUUGCUGUUUUGGGUUUGUUCUUAUUUUUUCGAUGAUCCGAGGUUGUCCCGAUGCCUCCGAAGAUGAGCACAGUGAUCAAUGGUCAGUGCUGAUUACGAUGCUCACCUCGCUUUGGAUCAACGGACUCCGAAUCAGCCUGUUCGGCGCGAUUUACCCCGAGUGCGCGCAGUUUGCAAAAUUUUCGAGUCGCUCCUGUGCCUCCCACAGUGAGUCGUUGUGCUCCGGAUCAUGAGCACGGCCUCCAGCACGUCGAGACCUAUCAGUACGUGUCUCGGUGGACCUAGGAAGUCGUCGGUUUGCGGUAACAAGCCACAAAACCCUAAACCCUAAACCCUAAGCCUCCGUUUGGUUCGGGGUUAAGGAAAAAGUAGCUAUUCCAGGGAUAAAGUUAAGUUCAGGGUUAAAGUGGGGUUAAAGUUUUUUUGUGUUUCGUUGGGGGUUGGAGUUAGUCUAGAAUAAUGAAAAAUAGUGUUUGGUUGGGUAGGUGGGAUAAGAAGAUAAUGAUUGAUAAAGAAGGAUAAUGAUUGGUUGGAGUAGGUGUGAUAAGAAAGAUAGUGGGUUAUUAUGAAUAGAAAAUAGUGUUUGGUUGGAGUUUGGUGGGGUUAGGUGGGGUUAGCUAACCCGGGAUAAUUUAUUUGAGGUGGGGUUAGGUGGGGUUAGCUAACUCCACCUAUUUUUUGGGGUGUUUGGGGAUAAAAUGGGGGUUAAGGGGUUAUUCCACCCCUUAACUCCCAACCAAACAAGGGCUAAAGCACCUACUAACUCUUCGACUUUCAUCUCAUCUAGAUGCUUAACGGUUUCAAUCGUGGCAACGUUUGUCCUAAAGCGCUCCGGAAGAGUUCGAAGAAGUUUUUUAACAAUUUUCGACUCCGGGAUCUUCUCUCCUAAGUUAGCACAUGUAUUAAUAAUAUCUUGAAGUCUAGUAUAAUAAUCAGUAAAAGAUUCAUGCUCUUCCAUUUGAAUUGAAUCAAAUUGACUUGUCAACAUCUAAAGCUUUUGAACUUUUACUAAACUUGUACCUUUAUGUGUAACUUGAAGAAUAUCCCAAAUCUUCUUGGCGGUUUCACACGUCGAGACACGAGUAAAUUCAGUUUACGAUAAAAGCAUUAAACAAAGCAUUUAUUCCUUUACCAAUGAAUGAAAAUAAUUCGUUUUCGUCUAUUUAUUUCUAGGUUUGGGGACAGUAGCAUUAUCGACGACUUCGGUGGGAUACUUUCAUCCGAAUUCGAUUGAUUGCCACACCCGCUCGUCGAUUGCAAUUAGAAAAGCUCUCAUGCGAACUUUCCAAUAGUUAUAAUUUGUGCCAUCGAAGAGUGAUGGUCGAUUAAUAUUACUUCCCUCGACUAUAAUGAUAGAUGAAGAUCUAGAUCCCGCUCUGAUACCAAUUGUAAGUUGCGAAGAGCCCUAGGAUCUUUUAUCUAGAUACUAUCAAACACCUGGGGGGUGAAUAGGUGUAACGACCAAAAACCACAAAUCUCAAUGCGAUGGAAAUUAAAUAUAAAAAAUAAAAAUCAUACCGAGAUUUAUGUGGGAAAACUCCAACUUGGAAUAAAAAACCUACGGGACCAACACGCGAAAAAAUAAUUCACUAAGAGAAAAUAUUACAAGGUGAUUACCGACUCCAUAGACUCUACCUCUCUUAACCUCCUAUAAAUCUCGCGCAAUCCUUCGGUUGUCUACGCCCUCACAUUCGAAUCCACGAACGCCUCGCACACGUCCGAAUCUACGAACACCACUUGAAUCCACGAGCACACGAUCCGAAUCCUCGAACCACCUUUAAUCAUCCCGAAUCCACGACGCCAUUCAUGAAGAACAUCAUGAUUAUGGUGAUCUUUUGCUUAGAGUAUCGAUGAAAACCAGAGAAGAAUCUCUAAGCGAAGCGUAGAUCAAUUCGACAUAUAGAUGUCAAUUUUCAAUACCUCGAAUUAACUUAAAAGAGGCUAAAUUGUAGAAAAUAGAUUUAGAACGAAAACCUAGCCUUUAGGGUUUCUCAAACAUAUAUUCUCGUGAUGUUCAAUGAAUUAGAGAACCCCAAUAGCUUAUUUAUAGACCAUAAAAUCAAUUAAAGUCGGAUUAGAAAGAUUUCGAAAUUUUACACUAUGUACCGGUACUGCAUCAUGUUGGUACCGGUACCAAAUGACGGAAUAAAAAUUCCUUAGGCUGCGGACUGCGGUAUAGGUACCAGGCCGAUGCUGUAUCGGAACCAGCUGCAGUACCGGUACCCUGCCAAUGCAGUAUCGGUACUCUGCAAUUUCGAGAAUUGCACCACCUGACUACUUCUAAUCCUUUAAAUUAUUUAAUUACUUGAUUCUAAUGUCAUAAAAAAGUUUAAAUUAUCAACAUGAAUUAAAACCUUACCUGAGCAUCGUGAUUCACGUCGUGAGAUGUUUCUGAGUUCUCGAAGUCUUAGUUUCUUCAAUGUUCUUCAAUCAUGCACCGAACCUUUCAAGAUGUAAAAUACCGAGAAUUCGGAAAUUAAAUAUCAAACUUUAGUCAAAUUGACGAAAGUGCGAGGAUGAUACCCUUCGGAAAGUCCGAAGGUGUCAAAAGGAUCAAAAGUGCAUUGUGGGAGGUUUUCGAGAGCUAAAGAAUAAAAAAUCUGCAUUUUGCAGGUUUUGUGCUCUCGGGAACCGGUCCCUGAAGGAGAGACCGGUCCCUGUACGCGUGGAAGAUGAGAAAAGGGAAAAAUCGGCUAAGUCCCCGAGAUCAGGCUCUCGGGAACCGGUCCCUGCUGGAGAGACCGGUCCCCGAGAGACCGGUCCCCCAAGGAGAGACCGGUCGCAUUACGCGGGAGCCCUGGCUGCCCGCAGGGAGGAGCUAUGGGAACCGGUCCCUGGUCAGGGAGACCGGUCCCCGCACACGAAAUCUGCCCAGUUUGGGCAGUUUAAUAAAAUGAAAGUUGAGGGGCUUAUUUGCAAUUAUGCAUUAUAUGGGUUAUGUAGAGGGCUAUGGGGGCUUUGUUCCUCUCAUUCUCUCCCUCUUAUACUCUCUCUCCUCUCUUUCUCUCUCUAGAAGACAAGAAUGAGAAAAAGAAUGAAAAGAGAAAGGAAAGGAAAGAAAGGGAAAAGAAGAAGGAGGAGAAGGAGUAGAAGGUGAAGAAGAAGCCAAGGAGUGAAGCUACCUCCUCUUCUUCCUCUUUGGAGCAACAUAGAAGCAAGCUUAGAGGUAAGCUUGAACCCUAUUCAUGGUAGAACCCAAAUUAGGGAUUUGAUUAACCUAGGAAUGGUUUUAAUGGAGUCUCUAGAGUGUUUGAAGCUAUCUUUGCCUUCCUUAAGAGAUCAAAACUAUGGAUGGGUAAAUGCGGUGAAGCUUAGAGGAGAGCUUCAACCUCUCUCAUGGUAAAAUCCAAACUAGGGUUUGGAUUGAGCUAAGAAUGAUUUUUAUGGAACCUUUAGAUGAUUUGAAGCUUGCUUUUGCUUCUCUAAGAGAUCAAAACCCUAGUUUUGAUAUGCUAUGAGCUAGGGCACCCAAAUUUGGGGCUUUUGCUCGGGAGGAUUUCAAAGUGAAAUUGACCCUCUAAAAACCUAAUUGGGGGUAUUUCCGACGCGUUGGUGCGCUCGGAUUGACGUUACGAAAAGCCAAUGUAAAGAUAUGAGCAAAAUGGCCUAAUAGGGCUUCGUUUUGCCGCAGGUGACGAACUAGGAGUCUAAAAAUCCCAAGAAAAUCAUUUUAGCAUCCUAGUACGUCUACGAGGUGGGUGGUGCUAUCCAAACUUAUUGAAAUUCCUUCUAUGCCUAAUGUGUCAUUUAAUUGAGCAUACGUUUAUAUUGUUGCAUGCAUUAUAGGGUAGAUGUGAUAUUAUAUAUGUGAAUGUUGCAUGAUGUGAGUACAUGUGCUAUUUGAAAUGUUUGAGAACCUAUUUAACCCUAUAUAUAUGCAUGAGAUAUAAUGUGAGCACCCAAUGAGAUGAAAGAACAAAGUGACCCAAUUAAACAUAGAUCGAGUGGCAUUCGAUAAUGUAAAGUAAAGUGAUACUAGAGUUAGUGUGUGUGGCAUCAAAGAGAAAUGAGAUGCAAAGAACAAUGAUAAUGAUUAGAGACAAGGAAAGAAAAUGAAAGUGGCAUAAAGAACGAGUAAAGUUAAAGAACAAUGAUUGCCAGAGUUAGCAAAAUAAAGUGAUGUAAAGAACACUAGAGUUAGUGUAAAGACAAUGAUUGAACUAUAUAUCCUUUUAGAGUUAAGGAUCGAUUAUACUUGCUAUGAGUUCCGUGCUCGAGGGCUGUCGCUCCCCCUCGAGCGAUGUGCUUCGGAGUUUUGCAUCACGGGUUGUAGUAAACCCGAGGACGGUCUUAGCGGGAGGUAGCUGAGGGCCCGCGAUGAUAGACUUAAUGUGGGCAAGUUAAUGUGGCGAAACCCCCGGGAUAGCCGUAAGAUUAAAGAACAAGAACAAAGAUUAAAGAAUAAAGAGUAAAGAACAAAGAACUUGCAUACUUGCAUGAUUUACGUUGAGCAUAUUUCUUGCUUUAUUAUUCAGGCAUAUUAGCAUCAUGAUUAUAGUUUGGUUACUAUUCUGCUUAUCUUUUCUAUUAUGCCUGAGUUAGUCCUAGUGGGAAAGUCGAUGAGGUUGGGGCCGAACCCACUGGGAACUUUGUUGUAGUUCUCACCCCACUAUUCCACAGAGCUGGGACCGAGCGAGCCGGUGAGCGACCGCGGUAAAGGUAUCGCGCCAUAGACAGUGAUUACCAAGUCGAGUUUACAUUUUGUAGUAGCAUUCCCUUACUUCAUCUUUUGUAUUUGAUGAAUUGAGAUGUAAAAGAAAAGAAUGUAAUAUUUAUCUCGAGGAGAAUGUGAUGUAAAAAGAAUGAUGAAAAGUAUGUAAAGAACUAUGAAUGCAAUGUAUGUGAUCAAAAGAGAAUCAUAGUACUUGUGUAGAUGUUUAGUUUCCUUUCUCUCACUCAUGGCUAUUGCUUGCCCUCGUGUAAGCCGUUUGUGUAUAUUUCCGCUAGUACUUUUCUCUACUUGAAAAUGUACAGGUGAUGAGCCUUGGGCGGACAAGGGAAACUCUGUCCGUUCGGCGUCUGUUUAACGUGCUCGGGCCGGCCCAAAUUGGAUCGGUCCCGGGGCGUGACACAAGACUUCGACUCAAAUCACGAAACUUGCCAACAUAAAAUACUUAACAAGAGAGUGAGGGAGACAGUGAGGGAGACAGAGAUGAGUUCGGGCGAGGCCAGUGAGAGAGAAAGGAAAAAGGUUCCGGCAAGGAUUAGGGUAUAUUGACUAAAGGCGGUGAAUCGUUUACCGCAUAUAAAUGCGGUAAACGAUUUACCGCAUUUAAAACCAUUCACCGCUUCUAAAAUACGGUAAAUAGUUAACUGCUUUAGAAAUGCGGUAAACCAUUUACUGCAUUCUCCGUUUUACCCCGUGAUGCCCCUAGACCCACAAAUGCGGUGAAUGGUUUGCCGCAUAUGUGAAUGCAGUGAACCAUUCACCGCAUAUAUGCGUUAUAUCCCCCCAAGCCGACCUGGCCUAUUUGAAAAUCAUUUUUGCAAUAAACUUUAAAGGAGGCCUAUUUUUAUAAAUAAAAAUUUUAGAAAGGCUAUUUAUAAAAAAAAUUCAACUAAGGAGCACAUAGACUGCAUACUUCUAAUAUUAUAGUAGUCCUGCUCUAUAUUUUUUCUAUAUAAUAAUUAAAUAAAAAAUAAUAAUUUAAUAACUUAUAAUAUUAUUACGCUAAUAUACUUAUAUCCAAAUAAUAUUUUUGGAUUGCGUCCCUAUUUUAAACCCAAAAAUAACCCAACCCUAACUAAUGCGUUGAGAGCCCUAACUAAAGGCACGAUCGCCCCCUUCUCUCUCACUCGCCGCCGCUUCCUCCCUUCUUCGUCACGUGCGCUCGUCGACGGCUCUUCCGCAGCUCCGCUCCUCUGCUGGUUCGCAUCCCCCCCGCCCCCUGGCCCUGCGAAUUGCUGGUUAGAUGUCUUACGUUAUCAUCUAUUCAUGCUGCAGAGUUACAACUAACAAAAUAUAUCUCCCGACCAUAGUUAGCUAAUUCGCGAAUUAUUCGCGAAUUUUUGAAAUGCCGAAUAAAACAGCCAUUUUCGUAUUUUUCCAAAAAAUUUGAAAAAAUUUGCAUUUUUUUGGCUAAAAAUAAUUAUUCGCAAAUUAAACGCGAUUUGCUAAUAAUUCACCCCAAAAAAAGGGCUCGGUUGCUAAAGCGGACUCGUGGGCCUUGCGGGUGACCCAAAACAGAAAAAAUAACCUUUCCGAGAACCUCGCCUCGCCCUGUCGCCCCCAAAAAAAAAGAAAAAGAAAAAAGAAAACCUUUUCUGAAAAGAAUCGCCUCCCUUCGCCUUUGUUUGGUUGGGGGUUAAGGGGUGGAAUAACCACUUAACCCCUAUAUUAUCCCCAAACACCUUAAAAAAUAGGUGGGAUUAGCUAACCCCAUCUCAAAUGGGCUAUCCCGGGUUAGCUAACCCCACCUAACCCUAUCAAACCCCAACCAAAUAUUAUUUUCUAUUUAUAAUAACCCACUGCCCUUCUUAUCCCACCUACUCCAAUCACACACUAUUUUUCACUAUUCUGAACUAAUUCUAACCUCUAACCAAACACAAAAAUACUCUAAUCUUACUUAAACCCCGAACUUAAUCCUAUCCCUAAAAUAAUUAGUUUUUUCUUUAACCCUGAAUCAAACGUACCACCCCAACGUACCACCCCCCCCAAAAAAAAGGGUUUGCCCUAACUUCUCACCGCUGCGGCCCUGCUGCUUCCGACCCCUCCUCCUCCCUCUCUUCCCUUCCGGCCGCUCGCCGAACGCCAUCGGAAGCCCUCCUCUUGCCACAUCGAAGAUCGGGUUCUUCACUCUUCACAACCCUCCUCGUCGCCUCUUCCUCUUCCGCUUCCGCUCCCGCUUCCGCUUCCGCUAUCCAACGAUAGAUCAGUAAUCGAUCGGGUGGUUCUUUACAAACCAGGUACGAUUUGAGUUCUCAUUCUUCAAAGCAAAAGUUGGAAGCUUUUAGUCCAUCUGAUGAAUACUUUUUUUUUUUAUACACAAAUGGCUCGAGUGCUUAUUGCUUAAUUGAAUGUGUCCAUUCUCUGUUAUGCACAAAGAAGACCCAAACAUAGUGCUAAAUAAUCUUAAUUAACUUAGCGACCAGGAAGUUCAGAACCUCCACUAUAUUUUGAUGGAGCCUUGUGGUGCUCUUUCUAGCCAACCAGGCAACUUAUUUUUAUCCGAUCCCUGCACACAAAUCUCAGAUUCUCAAGUCAACUUAUGUAUGCUUAUAUGUGGAAUUGUGUGCUUGUAUGCUCUAUGUUUAUUCAAGCUUUUAUGUAUGCUUAUAUGUGGAAUAGUGAACUUUAUGUAUCUUUUAUUUGUUUACUGUUUAGUCUUUAGAAUUUAGAUAUGCUAGUAUGCAGUUAUGCACUAUGCAAAGUGCCAAUUUCAUCUUGUAUUUAGUUUCUAAUUAUGCUUAUAUGUGAACUUUUUAUAUUUUACAUUUAAAUAUGGACUAUCUUGAUCUCUUAUUUGCUUAAUUAUUUCUUUAUUUUGAGGCAUAAUAGUUUACUAUUUUUUUUUUUACUUAAUUAGUUUAAUUUUGUAGCUCUUUAUUCUUAUAUUCUUAAAAAAUACGAGUAUUUAUGCUAAUAACAUAAAUCUUGAGAGGGAAAAAACUUAAUUUAAUAGCCGAAUUUUUGAUCCCGAAUGUUUAAUUGGUGAACGUAUAAUAUCUGUAUAAAUCACGUAUCCGAAUAAUUGGCAAAUCCGUUUUUUAGCCCUUUUUUUCAACGAAUUUAAAAAUUAGAACACGAAUUUUAUCCGAAUUAUACCCGUACCGAAUUUUUUCCGAAUCCGAAUUAACUGACUAUGCUCCCAACUACCUAGAAAUUCAAAAAACUAGUAAAUAACGGAUACUGAAAUUUGCGUAAAAGAUUCGAACGAUAUUUGUGAUCUUAAAUGUGUAGCAGGCAAAUAACGUCCUAUAGUGCACACUUCCUUUAACUCAUUCUAAGCUGAUGUUAAAAAUGAUAGAACAAGUUUAUUAAGUGCCUUAAUGUUAAAAAUGAUGGAACAACUUCUACAAACUCAAGUUUUUCAAAUUUCUUUUAAUUUGAAAUGACUACAAUUACUAUUUCAAAGUCUAUUUUGGAUAGCCUCUCUCACUUAAUACUACAAUAAAUUGGUGUAUAGGGAGCACCAAUCAAGGCCUAUAGGUGAAAAAACGUUACUGAAGUCUGAGGACAUCAAUAUUGUUGUUGUUUUCUUUUUCUUUUUCCUCUUUUCUUUUUUUUGGCCUCACAGCUUUAAGUGUCUAGCUAUAGACUACCACAAUUAUUUAUCUAGUAAAUUAGUAAAUAAAUCAAUAUAUAAUGCAUUAGUAAAUUAGUAAAUAAAUCAAUAUAUAAUGCGGAAUAAGAAAAUGAAUUGUUGUUAUGGCCUUUUGCCAGAUCUGAAGACCGGGUGGACCAUCCAAGUGAUUCAAGAGGUCAAGAUCCUCGCAAAAAAAGGUGCAUUUUGAGGGUCUUGACGCUGUGAUCCAAGAGCUUGUUGAUCUAGGGUUUCAGAGGUCUCUUUCCCGUUCUCUCAUCCCUUUUUUCACUAUUUUUCUUCAAAUUUAUUUUGAAUUAUGUCUAUUUUGUCUAACUUAGUUGCAUUAUGUCUUAUUUGCACUAAUUCUCAUUCAUAUUUAUAAAUUCUUAUUAUAUAUUAUUAUCUGAAUAAUAUCCAAAUACUAGUGUGAUCCAUGCAAUUAUGCUUUUAGCCGAAUGGUUACGAAAAUUUAGCAUUUGACACAUGUCUGUAUUUGAAUUCGCCUCCGAAAAAAGCAUGCAAUUAUGGUUUUGUCAAAUAUCGAUAGUAUUUGACUGUUUUCACCUCUAUCUGGCCUUGUCUACAUAUUACUUCCUUCAAUAAAAUUGAGAUAGGAUUAUUAAAAAAUAUUACAAUAUUAAAUUUUUUUGGGUCAUGAGACACACACACACACAGAUAUAGAUUGUAUUUAUAUAUUUAAGGCUAUAUUAUCAAAUAUUGUUUUGCACGUUAAAUUAUGUCUUAAUUGUUCCGAGCAGAACUUUGUGAAACCUGUUUCUAGAUAUUAUUGAUUAUUGAUUAUAUUUAAUAGUGUGAUGUAAUAAGAUUAAUUUUCCUUUUCUUUUGGCCUAUAAAAUUGGCAUGAGUAUGGACCGCACCUAGAGAAGUAAGUAAAAGAUUGAAACUCUCUGCGAUCACUUAUGGGAACUUGUGCAAUUAAUAGAAAGGGUGAUGGUUACAAAAAAAGGGAAAAAAAUAAUGCGAAGAAAAACUCUAGUUGAGAACUGGCUUUUGUGCAUUUUAGAUUGGUUUGGAACCUAAAUCAAGAAAACUGGUUAUCUAGAAAAUCUGUUUUGGGAGUGGAACAGGUUUUAAUUUUAGACCUGUUUAUUCGAUUAACCCCUUCUCGGUCCAUCUCCAAUACUUCUUCUGUUUCACAAAAUUCACCUUUUUUCUUUUUGUGAUAGAUUGCCCAAUACUGAACUGCCUUCUAACAACGUGCUUUGCAGGUCCUUUCGCUCUUUCCACCAGCCUACUAUUUAAAUUGGUCCCCAACAGAUUGAGGCCUUUCUUUAGUGAAACGAGUAAAGCCACAAUGAACAACGAAGGAAGGCAGCACGACGAUGAUUCCGCCCUCACGGAGUUCCUCUCUUCCCUCAUGGAUUAUACGCCUACUGUACCUUCACUUUCUUUUCCUUCUUUUGUUUUUUCACUUGAUUUCAAUCUUUUGUAUUUCUCCCUUUGGGCUUGUUAAUCUAUGGUGUUUAUCAAUUCUGCUUGGUGUUUUGGAGGUGGGUAGAUUCCCGAUGAGCUGGUGGAGCACUAUCUUUCUAGGAGCGGCUUCUACUGCCCCGAUUUGCGGCUGUAAGCUACUCCGCCUUUUUUUUUUUUAUUGUCUCUACUUUGUGAUUACUUAUAAGAAAUCUAGUUUUAGCAACCUUUUUAAGUUAGAGAAAUGUAUGUUAAAUGCAUUUAUAAUUGUGUUCAAUUACCAGAAACAGAAAUUUCUAAAGAUUCUUUAACAGAUGGUUUUCAAAUAAUGAUUUUAUUUUGUUUGUUUGAGACUUUGACGAAGAUCUAAAAUACAAUCACAUCCUUGAGAACAAAUUAAGAAAAGGAAUUUAAAAAAUGGCAUUUUUGUCCUUUUCGUUCCGUGUUGCAAUGUAAACUUAUAUUUGAUUAUACGGUACAAGGUUGAAAUGUUGUGUUUUAUGCAUAUUCUUGAAAUCCUAGCAAUUGUUAUUCAAAAAUAGGAUUUUUUUGUCAACUAGCGUCUGCAAACCGUACAUGAUAAGUUGAUGAUUCAAUUUCGAUUAAGAUAAUCAUCUCUGCUUUUGUAACUCCGGAUUAGAUUUUUGUUCAAGCAUGGUUGCUAUCUGAUAGUAAGAUGAUUGCGAUUGCUUUUGGAGGCACUAUUUGGUUGAGGUUUAAUUUGGCAUUAUCCCCUUUAUCAAGCCGAAUGUAUCAAAAAGAGGAGAGAAAAAGACAGGCAAAGCUGUUCUGGUCAAUUUUGUAAAUUUACAAUAACUAGUGAACUACAAAUUCCGGCCAAUACUUGUAAUUUAGUGCUACUCCCACUUCAUUCCUGGUUAAUCUAGCAACCUUAGUGCAGUCAUAUAUCUAUCCCUAUUACGCAAAACCACUCACAAAGCUAAUUUACUUCUUUGUUAUCAUGGGGAAGAAGAUCCUAAUAGCUGGCAAACUUGUCCCAUGAGCCUAGUGCAUCUAAAUUGAAAGUACUGAACAGGAAAAUCCUCAUAGUUCAAAGUUUCCAUGAUUGAUGGAGGAAGGUAGUUUUAAGGUACUUUCUCACAAUUACUUUGUAGACCUGACGAUGUUUCUAUGGUUUUAAUUUUCAAAUUUAGAAUGAUAUGAUAAUAUCUGCAGAAAUAUUAGGAAAUAUUGUGCGCAUCCACUAGUUAUUAUAUAUUUAUUGGCUAUUGAUAUUUUGCUUUAACCUUUUCUGUCCAACAAAUCUUAGUUAUGAAGAUCUCCAAACCUGCUUGCAUUUCCAAAAUCUUUUUCAUUAAGAGACUUAGUUAAGCACCAUGCAUAGUGAUCGUCAUGUUGAUAUAAUAUGCUUGAAUUGAAGCCUUCUCCUUUAUUUCCAAAGGAACCUUUGCCUUGUCUUGCUUUACUUCAACCUACUGUUGAAGGCCUGAAUCAGACCAUGCUGGAAAUUUCAAGGCAUGGUAGUUAGUCAAACAAAAAGUAUUUACUCAAUUGCAUUUGUGUGCUUUUAGUGUAGAAUAUCUGUUAUUGUAGUGUUAUACUAUUUUAGAUAUUCUCAGUUAAUAUGAGGUUACUCUAUUUUAUUUUUGAAAGAUUGUGCAGACUGAUUUGUUACUCGUCUGUUUUGACAGAACAAGAUUGGUGGCUGUAGCUGCUCAAAAGUUCAUUUCAGAUGUUGCUAGUGAUGCUCUCCAGUAUGUUAAACCUCUUCUUUUGUGAUUUUAUAUUUUACCAUUGAAAUUUGCAAGAUUUUAUAAUUAUAAUGCCUUCUAAGUUUUCUUGCAUUAUUAUUGCUUGAUAAACCUUGUGGGCUUCCUAUGUAUUAGUGCCUGAAAUUGUAAUGCAUUAGUUAGCAAUACAUGUUUUAAGCUGGACAUCACAUGAUUAUAACAAAACCUUACUAGUAAACAUUAUCAAGCAUCUGUGUCAAGUGAAGCGAGUCCUCAGUUACUUGUCGAUGAAGGUUUUUGUCCAUCUUCGCCCUUGCACUUCAGUUUACUAGGUCUCUUGGGAAUUAAGAUAGUUUGUAGGUACUACUUCUAUUUGUCUUUUUUUAAGUAGUUCUAGCUUGUGUUUUGUACAUUUAUAAUCUUGAUUUUUAACUUUUGCAUGCUUUUCUUAAUACAAAAAGUUGGUAGCACAUUUUAACAGAGAAAAAUUUAACUUACGCUGCCAACUAUAUUUUGUUUGCCUGACUUUAUAUUGCAUCGUGGGUAAUAACUCAUUUAAUUUUCUCGUGCAAUCAUUAAAGUUUGCCUCUUGACAAGCCUUAGACAAUUAGCCCUGGAUGGUUAGGUUAUGCUACAUAAUAACAAUCGAACUUUCUCAUUGGGCUACAGUGAGUUGACAUAAUUAUUUCCAUAAUGAAUUACAGAGAAAAGAUUGCCUUUUAGUGGUAAUUGUAUAAAUGGGGGGCCUCUCACUAUUUUUCCCGUCAUUAGAUAGAGAUGAUAGGGCCUGAAUUUGUAUUUUUGGUCCAAUAUCCUACAAAAAAGCUUAAUCUGCUCAUCUACUCUCUUUGUUAUCUAUCUAUACUUAUCUAUACUCAUACAUUAUUCCUCAUAGAAUUCGCCACAUGGCAGUUCUUCCUUCACCUUUACCUUCUCCCCCCUUCCCAUUCCCUAAUGCUUCGCCUUCCCAUCCCCAUCUCUCUCUGAUGCUUCAUUUUCCCACCCGCCCACUUUCCAAUUAGGCCCUGUUUGGAUGGUUACUUUUUUGGAGUGAAGUAUACCUAUGCUAUGGGUGUAGGAAAAAAAUCCUAAGAGAUGUUUCGAUGCUUCAAAAACACCCCAACAAAAUAGGGUAUAGUUUAACUAUACCCUAAAAAACAGAGAAAAAGUAACCUCUAAAAUUUUCUCUGGAAAAAAAAUUACGCUAUUUUUUUUGGGCCGCCUCCCCACUCGCCCGACUUUCUCUGGCGCUUCUCUCUCCCUCCCGUUGCCCUCUCCACGCUUCCUCCCAUCCUCUCUCUCACCUGAGCUGCGUCUCUCUCAUCUCAGCCGCCGCCGCCGCCGCCGCCGCCGUGGAUCUCGGCCACCAUCGUUGCCAUCUCUCGGGUUGCCGCCGCCGCCGCUCUCCGCUGCCAUCUCGUGCGUUGCUACCGCCGAAGUCACGAUCACCUCGGCUGCCGUCGCCGUCGCACUAACCUCGGCCACCAUUUUCUUGCCUCGAUCUUGUUUCGCCCUUCUCGUCCCUCGCCUUGCGAUGGCCGGAGAAGGGCAGCCCCAUUUCCCUCCUCCAACAGGUAACAAAGAAAUGAUCUGAUUUUUUUUUUCCAAUAGGUUAGAUUUUGAUUGAUUCAUUAAUCUUCAUUAGGUCUUUAUGUAAGAAUAGAUAUCUGUAACACAUGAACUCUAUCUUCUGCCUUUCAUGGUGGCAGGAUUUAGCCAUAGUAUGCUAGCUGUUAAUUUGAGUUUGCAAUAAUUUCCUUUGUGACUCCAAAUGAGUUGGUUGAUGAUUAAAGCAGGCCAUUAGGACUUAGAUGAAGCGCUAAUUGUUUAUCCUUUUUGAUAGUUCCGACUACCCUGCAACUUGAUGAAUAACGGCGAUACUCAGAGAAAACGAGGUUUUAUACUUACAUGUAGGAUGGUUGUUCUGCUGUUUUCUCAGGAGGCAGAGCAAUAAUGCAUAGUUAAUUAUGUUAUGACUACGUCUAGUUUAUACCGGUUUCUGUUUGCCAUGGCUAAAAAAUCUGAUGAUGAAAUGUCAAGCAUGCCUGUGGCUAGAGAGGCGCCAAGAUUUAUUUGCCAGUUUUAGUUAUAUUGUUGUAGAUAUCCCAAAUUGGAUGGAAGGAGAAUCUGUGAAAAUCUUGUUAGGUGAGUCCCUUUGAUGAACUUGUUGUAUGUUUUAAAUUUGGUUUGAACCGGCUGGCUGAUCUAAUUGGUCGAACCAUUACCAAGUGCUCAGGUCAGUCCUUGUUAACACAUGAAACUCUAGGAGUUCAAAAAACAGCAUCAAGCCAAAUGUCUUUAUUCUUUAUGCUUGAUCAUUUAUCAGCUGGUCAAAAAACAAUGGACACAUUCUUAGGAUGCUAAAAUGUGUGCUUGAAGUUUAUUUUUUUGCAUUUAUAAGCGAUUAUUGGGUUAAUUUUUGGUCAGGCUAUGUUAGAAUAAAGUCCAGAUUUGGGUUUAUUUUUGUCUUCAAUUUGUGUUCAAUGUAAGCUAGAUGGUCAAUUUGUUUAGGCCCGUAGAAGCUUCAGUUUGUGUUCAAUUUAUUCCUUUUGUAAUUAUUUUGUUCAUAUUUGUAUGUAUUCAAAUAUUGUCACACAUUGUUUGUCGUGAUUAGAAUAGCCUUCUCAAACUAUUUUGCAUGUUAAGUAAACUUAUGAUUGCCUUCUCUAACGGCUAGUAAUUGGGUUUUUUUAAUUCUCCAACCGCUGGAGAUAAAACUUUCCAACGGCUAAUUUUUCAAAUUUUAAUUUUUAAAUUUUAAAAUUUAAAAUUAUUUAAUAGUUAAUAAUUUAAAUUUUAAUUUUAAACUUUUAUUUUAAAUUUUUAGAUCUUAAAGUCAUUUUAAUAGUUAAUAAUUUAAGUUUAAACUCUCAAGACUAAUUUUUUAAGAUUAUCAGAAAUUCUGUAGAAUUGUAUAAUGUGUAUCCAAACAGCUUUUAAAAUAAACUCGUGGAAUUUUUUUGGAGUUACAGGAUACUCCAUUUCAUUUGGACCAAAACUACGGUAUUUAAACUCUAUGGAAUUUAUUUAUUGCUCAUCCAAACAGGGCCUUAAUGCAUUUGUAGGUCUAUUGUUAUCUAAACAAAUCACUUUCAAAAGAAAAAAUCAGUAAAAUAAGAUCUUUUCAUACUCUUUUUUCUUAUACUAUUUGUAUUUAUUAAUAUCUCAUGGCAAGUCAAAAAAUUUUAAAACUUUUAUGUUAUCAAUUUUCUGUUUUUUAUGAUAGGGUUAUUUGCAUACACGUCCCUGCAAAAAUAGUGAAUUGCAGAUAUAUCCCUGCAAAAUGGAAACUCCAUAAGUUGUCCCUGCAAAAGUCCUAAGUUAUGCAGAUAUGUCUCUCUGGUUAACAUCCGUUAGUGAAUUGUUAACUUUUUAACAACGAAUUUAUAAAAUGACAUUUUUACCCUUACAAAUAUGUCCCUCCAAAAAUAUUCCUCUUCCCCCUUCUCUUUCUCUUCCUCUUCGGGCUGCCGGAGCGGACGACAAUGAUGGCGCUGGUGGGACUCGCCGGCGACGAAGAAGAGGGAAGAAAAAGAAAGAGAGGAAGAAGAAGAGGGAAGAGGAAGAGGAAGAGGGAGAGGGAGAGGGAGAGGGAGAGGGUUCGCCGCCGCCGUCGCAUCUUCUCCUUCGCCGGCGACGAAGAAGAGGGAAGAGGAAGAGGGAGAGAAAGAAGAAGGGGGGAGAGGAGGAGGGAGAGGAAGAGGGAGAGGGUCCGCCGCCGCCGCCGCUGCAUCUCCCUCGCCGGCGACGAAGAAGAGGGAAGAGGAGAAGAGGAAGAGGAAGAAGGGUAGAACCGUAAAUUCACAUUAUAAUUAACCAUGGUUAAGUAUUUUUACUAUGGUUAACGGAAAUUUUCUAACAUACUCUAAUAGUAGGGACAUAUCUGCAUAACUUGUGACUUUUGCAGGGACAACUUAUGGAGUUUCCGUUUUGCAGGGAUAUAUCUGCAAUUCACUAUAUUUGCAGGGGCGUGUAUGCAAAUAACCCUUUAUAAUAUUAGCCUACCGCAAUGCGCGGGUAACUUCAAUAGUGUUAUAUGAUUCUUGUGAUUGAAAGGCAGAGGUACUUUUACAUGAACAACUUCUAGGAGUAUCAAUUGCGGCGUCACGACUGAGAACUCCUAGAUUGCUUUAUCAUAUUGUUGGGAGGGACAAAUAGGUUCACCAUCAUUACUUUGCGAUUGGUAAGAUGGUACCUUGGGUAGUAUUGCCAAUACAUGUACAAUUCUAACUUUGUUAGGAUCAUUCGGAAGAGGAGAGGAUUAUUUUAAGAGAGGUGCAUCACCAACCUCUUGCUGUGGAAAGUGUUCCUUAUGUUUUUAUUACAACCACUUACUGUACAUAUGAAUGAUAAGUCAAGUAACUUUCCUAGCUGCCUUGGCAGGCAACAUUUAAGUGAACUACCUUGGAACCUAGGUGGCGUUUUGAUAACACUUCUCGAGAACAAGCUCUACAUUAGUGGAAUGUCAUCACUCGUGUGGACUUGGGACUUUGGUGGCAUUUUGAUAACACUUCCUAAGAACCUCUCUCAUUGGUAGAAAUGCCAACUAAAUUCUUAUAUUAGGCGAGAAACAUCGUCGGUCUCUCAUUUGGUCAAGUUGCUAUGACUAUAUUUAAUAUAAUUAAUAAUUUGUAUUUAUAGGAUGAAAGCAAGAUAAAAACGUGUAAGUGGCAGCAAAUCUAUGAUGUUAUAGAAAAGUUUAUUCUUCAUAUUUUUGGAAUCACAUACUCAAACUUUCCCUUAUUUGACAUUUUUCUCUUUUUGUGAGGUCAUAUCCUUUUUUUAAAAAUUUAUCUGGUAUUUUAAUAACUAAUAUAUUAUUUCAACGGACAUAAAGUAUUUGUAUUGAUUUAAAUGAUCACACUUUUAGUUGCAUUUCCUAGAGUACAUUCGAAUAGACUAUAUAUUAGUGGAAUUGUUGGAACAACUUUUUCUCCAUUAUUCCUUUCUUUGAAUUUUGUUAUCUAAAAUUAUGAGAAGACAAAUAUAGAAGUGCGAUAAUUAAAGCAUAAAUGAUUAUUUCAAAAUUUACCUCUAUAAAUUCUUUCUACUUAUAUUUACAUGAAUAGUUGGAAGUUACGAAAUCUAUGAAUUGAAAUUCAUAAUUUAAAUAUCUUAUAAGAAACUUAGGUUCCUCGGCAAUUAUUAAUUUUGUAAAAUAUAUUGAGAAUGCAAUACCAAGUGAUCUGGCAUCAUAACUUGGUUGAAAGCUAUGACAUAGGCUUGGUUGAAAGCCAUGAAAUAGGCUGUAAUUCAGUUUGUGUCCUGUUUUGCAAAAAAGACAUGUUAAUGCUAAGUUGCAUUGGAUUGGAUUAAGUAGUGAAGUUCGGAUUGCAUUGGAUUGGAUUGGAUUUAGUAUGUUACCCAUUGUGGGAAGUGGGUAUCUCCAUAAAUUAUUCAUCACCGUUUAGGGAUCAGGGAGGUCAUAAGCCUAUUCCUUUAUAUGUCGCCAUUUAAAAGGUAGAGCAGAGGUUGGCCGCCACUAAGUGCCCCACUAAUCUAGCUACUGAUAUUUUCAAGGGAGGAGAUAGCUCCAUGGUUUUCUUUCUUAUUUGCUGUGAAGGAAGAAAUCCUCACACGGGUGUUAGAACUAGGGAUUGAUUGAGGGAUUGAGGAGGGAAGUUCUAUCUCACCCUUUAGGUAGGGAUGGUAGUACCACCUCAGCUAAUAUCACUGGAGGAGGAGGAUAUAGGCUAGAUACCUAAACUAGUGAAAUAACCCGUGCUUCGCGGCAGGAUGUAAUGAUAUGAUUAUUUCGUCAUAUCUUUUUAUCAUAACAUAUAUAUCUAUAUAUAUAUAAUAUUCAAAUUAUCUUAUAGUUCUUAUUACUUAUUUCAAUAUAUAUCUGAAAUGUUAUCUAUAUUUAUGUAGUUCGAAGGUCGGAGAAGUGACAAGCAAAAUUAACAACGAUAAAAAAUAAAGUAAAACAAAUCAGCCAGAAUAUGAAAUAUGAUUUAUUGUUUACAUUUGUAUUACAAACUAUAUAUUAUUGUAGAGCUAGGCUGGUAUACUAUCGGUAGCACGGAGGCCUCCGUGCUACCAAGUUGUUUUCAAUGAUGCGGCUUCCAAAUCGACGAUCAGCUCCGUUAAACUUGAUCUACACUAUAAAAAGUAUUUGGAAACUAAAUUUCAUAAUUUUUCGGUAUCAUUUACCUAUCAAACGAGUAGUCUAAAAAUGAACGGCUGAAAAUAAAAAUCUCAUAAAAAAUGAUGAUAAAAGACUUUAAUUUAAGAUCAAAGGUACUAAUCUUACUCUAAAUAGUGAAAAGAAUUUUCUCUAAAAUUUUUAUUAGAUUUGGAUUGUUUUACACCGUUAAAUUCACAAACGCGUCACAUCUACCAUUAAAAUUGUCAAUUUUGAGACCUUUUGAUCAUUAGCCAAAUAAUGUCGAAAAAUUANCGAUUUGGAAGCCGCGUCAUUGAAAACAACUUGGUAGCACGGAAGCCUCCGUGCUACCGAUAGUAUACCAGCCUAGCUCUAUUAUUGUAUUGGAUAAUAUAUAUUAUUUAGUUAGUUGAAAAUAUAUAUUAUUUAGUUAUUUAUUCCUUUUUUUUCUUAUUUUCUGAGUUAGGCAUUGCAAGGCAAGGGUAGCAGCGCCAGUUAAAGAUAAGAGUAAGCAGCCAAAGGUGCAGGCUGAGGCCUAAUGCAAAUUUGAUGUUUCUCGUUGUUACAACUUUUCUGUAUUUUGAACAUGUUGAUGUUUGUGUUCGAGAACACUGAACAAAUUAUGCUGCAGGAUAAACGCCUUGUCUUGACAAUGGAAGAUCUUUCCAAAGCCCUGCGUGAGGUAAGUAAUCUUCUUAGUUAGCAAAUCUAUUUUUAGAUAAUAACACGUUGUUAUUUUUCUCAAGGAGAACCAUUUGUUUUCUGUUAGUAUGGAUCGAUGACGUUCUUUAAUUCUCUUGUUUAAAGAUUUUUUUUUUUAUUUAUAUUAGGAAACUGGCGAAAGGUUCAUGGCACUUCUUUUUUUUUUUUUUGUAAAUGAAUUUUUUUUGGAAUUCAGAGGCAGAGUACUGCUCUAAACAAGAGGUACUAUAUGGUGUUUAUAUAACGGAGUAAGUAGAAUCAGGUCUAUGAUUAAAAUGCCUAUCUAAGAUUUUCGUAUUAGGCCAAAUGAAUGUUUGUUCAAGACCUUAGAUGCAACUAUGUAUUGACACGGAAAGACAAUCACCAUCCUUCUCUUAGGUUUCUGCAUUAGAUGUUUGAAUUAAGUUUUUAUUUUUUUGAAUUUAAGACCUCUCCAACGUGAUUUUAUACUUGAGAGAAAUUUGCUUCAAAGACUGUCGAGCCUAUAACCCAAUUAUAUUUGCUUAAAACAGCACAACAAUCAAUGAAUAGACGUUUCCUGAUUGGAAUUCCCAAUUUUCUUGUCAAAUGCCUUCUUAUAGUUAAGCAGGUUCCUUUUUAUUGUGGUAAUAACAGUUGUCAGGGAAACUGACAUUUAUUUUCAAAAUUACUAGGUUAAAUUUUUCGAUGGGAAAAUUGGAAGGUGAUUAUUGCUUACAUUUGAAUUUCAGAUGCAUCUUCGGAUUAUGAACUCUGUAUCAACACUAAUUGUUGUGUCAUAUUUGAAAUGUAAUAUGUUUUUUGAUGUUUUAAGGAGACGCUUGAAAUGUAAUAUAUUUUUUGAUGUUUUAUUUUUAAGAAAUGAAAUAAAUGGGAACUUAGCUAAACUAAUGAAAAUCCCUAAGAUCUUUGGUUUCUCAGUUUUUCUAUAUCAAUUUGAAGUUAAAUAUUAAUACUCUUUACCAAUAUAGGGAAAUUGUUUUGCACUUAAACUCCCCCUCAAUAUUCAAAAUAUGCAGAAAACUCUCCUCAACUUUAUGUGUUACUUAAUCCCUUACGUAAUUUUACUGUCUAUAAAACGUUAGAAAAUACCAAGAUGUUGUUCAAGUAUGAACUAUUAAUUUUGCACGGUGAUAAUCUGGUGUCUAGGCAUCUCUUCUUGCCCUCAUAAAUAGAACUUACAACUGCUUUUUAUUUUAUGAUCAGAAAAAUGAAAAAACAAUCUGUAAGCGGAUCAAAAAGCAAGAAAGGAUAUCUGGAAUCUGGAUAUCACUUUCUCCAUACAACACAUAUAUUAGUGUUUGAAAUUAUAUUUUAUUAUUUCCUAAUGUUUUAUGAGUGAUUAAUUAUGUAAGGGAGUUAAGUUAUGGCAACACAAAAAUUGCAUGGGGGCCUUCUACAUAUUUUAAAUUUUGAUGGGGGCGAAGUGCGAAACAUAAGGUUUUCUAUACGUUAGCCUAAAUAAAAUGAUUAUUGACUAGAUGAAGUAUCCAUACUUUGAGAGUGUUUAAAGGGAUACAUGACAGAGCAUACAUAAUGCUUGAAGUUUAGUACCUUACCUCUGAAUUCUGUAGUUGUAGGCAUUUACGAAACUUUGCUAUGUUCAAUACAUUUCAUUUAGCUUGUUAGACUUAAACAAAUAAGUAGUAGUAAUAUAUAGAUGCAUAAAUAAAUAUAGAUAGCCUAAUAUUCCUUUUACAGGAUCACAUUAAUAAUGUAACUCUAUGACCUGUAUGAAGAAGUUGUCGUUGAAAUAGAAGAUGCUACAAUCACAAUCCAGAAACUGUUGCGAUAUGAUCAAGCUCAAUGGGGAGAUGUUCAAUCUUUUGUUAGCAUAAUUCAUGCGUCAGGGCAUUGGAUGAGCAAAAUUGAUUGUGUUGAUGCUUCUGUUGUGCAAAAGCAACUCUAAACUAUUAAAUGCCUAAUAUUCUCUAUUAAUAACGAGCAUGCCAAAAUUAUUACGACAAGGGAUCAUGAGAUUAAGGGAUCAUGGAAUUUUGUUUUAUGUGAAGCGGUCACAAUUUUUAUUAUUGUCUCUUUUUUACUUUGUUUGUUCAUGUUUUUCUAUAUGUAUAUUAUUAGUAGCUGUUUGUUGUUUUUUAUGCAUUGAUUGCGCAUUAUCUCUUGGAUCUUCUCAUACAUCCAAUUUGCAUUGCAGUACGGAGUGAACUUGAAACACCAAGAGUAUUUUGCCGACAGCUCCUCAACCGGAAUGGAUCCUGCUUCAAGGGAGGAGUAAGUAACGAUCAAAUCCCUAAAUUAGAUUGAUGCCCUUUGUGUGGAAAGGGGCUUGCGCCUAUGCCUCAGCCGUUUCGGCAUCAUGAUUCAACCAAGUACAGCUUGAUGCAGUAUUAAUUGUUACUUUAGCUUAUAUAUGUUUGCAGAAAAUAGUUUUGUAUCAUUUCGUCAUCUCUUUAGUAUCUAAAUUUUGGAGCAUAUGUUUGUUUACCAAGCUAUUUAGGUGACACUAUAGAAUACUCAAGCUUGUAUGUGCUUGCAGAAACUAGUUUUGUAUUAUUUUGUUGUCUUUUAACUAUCAAGAUUUUACAGCAUUUGUUGGUUUACCUCCUCUUGUAUCACAAAGCUUCACAUGUUUAAUAUAUUUUGAUUAAUUUUUGCCGAAUAUUUGUAUACUAAGUCUUGGGCAUCAAUAAGCUUUUGUUGGAUAAUGUUGUGUAGAGUUUACCUUUAUACAUUAUUAAUGAAUUUGCAUGAGAGUUUGAUUUCUUUUAAUUGAUUAAUUAAUCUGAAUGUAAUUUUUUUCUUCUGUGAUUACAUAUUUCUUAUUGUUCUUGUUCUUAAACAAAAACCAUAAUGCAAAGAAACAAUACCAAGAGAAAUUAACUUCUCAUUACUUGGUGCUUUUGACCUUAAGGAACUUGGAAAGGAAACAUGAACAAAACCUAGAGUCCCGUACAUUCUUCUGAUUUUUUCCAAAAUGAAUUGAAUAUUUGAUCGAUUUGUGUAGAAGCUUGAUUUGAUCGAGUUUAUAAAUGAAGCUGAGAAAAUGCUUCUGAAACGACAAAACUAUCUGCCUUUGUGAACCAUGAUGAAUGAGGGAUUUAAUGAGUGAUUUUGCCAUAUUUUUCUAAUUAUUCAAGGAAAUUAGCUUGAAUGUUUAGCCCGUUUUUCAAUGUCGGAACAAGUUAUACUUAGUGGUAGCAACAAUUAUGUGAUUAUAAGUUAAGUGUUUGAUUUUCACGUCUUGAAAGGUUUGGCAUAUGUGAUUUGGUGCAGUAGUAGUGUAUCUUACUUACGAGAUAAUUUAUUUUAUUUCGGAAAAAUGAGUGGACAGUCAAAUGUGAUAUGCCUUUCUGGAUAUUUGAUCGUAUUCCUCUUUUAUAAAAUGCUAUAAUUUUGUGAAUAGAUGAAAGAGAUGCGGUGAGCGAGAUAUUCCUGCAUCUAGAGACAGCAUUCAAAGAGUAUUUUCCUUGGUCCAUUUUAGAGUUUAGCUAUCAUGUUGGGAGGAGUAUCAUCCUCACAAAUGGUUUAUUAUAUUUGUGAUCCAAUGAUCACCCUCAAUGUACAAUCACCAUUUUUGUCAGUACUGGAGUCUAAUUGAACAUAUACACAGUUGGAGAACAUUUUAGUGGCAAAAUGAUUUAGCAUCUUAGAAUGCUUUCUAAUAAAGGAAAAAGUCCAUGUAGUCUCCAUUCAUGUUUCUUGGUCUGUAUCAGUAGUAGUAGUAGUAGUAGUACUAGUAGGCUGGUCGAUGGUCAUAUCUAUCAUUUCAACUCUCCGGAAUAAAUCCUUAGCUUUCUUAAAGGGGAGUCAAUGUGGACACUCUGGAAAUACCUGGGUUUUGAGUCAUUCAAAACUCGAAAUAAAAAACCUUGUAAAGUGUGGAAAGGGUUUUAGAGAAAAAAAAAAAGAAGAAAAAUUUCAAAGCUAUGUGGCAAGAAGUGUAAAUGGGCAAAAGCUGUGCAGUUUUUUUUUGAGGGAUUAACAGGGAAUUUGUUUUGAUAUUGAUAGAUAAAUUAUAGAAGUUUUUAGCCAACUAAUCUCAUUCAAACCUUUUAUUCUAAAAAUAAGCCUCUAAAAUUUAUAUUUGUGAAAAUAGGCUCAAAAUUGCCACGUAGGCACUGAGCUAGCAGCAGAAAAUUAAUAGCGGUGAUGGUUCACCGCUUUCAUAAGGUUUUAAAAAUUCCAUAAAAGCGGUGAACCAUUCAUCGCCUUCAUGUAGUUCACCUAAUUUGUUCGUGCGUGGAUAAAAUUUAUGAAGAUGGUGAAGGAUUCACCGCAUAUAAAACCGAUGAAUAAUUCACGGCUUUUAUAUGCGGUGAACCAUUCACUGCCUUUAUAUGCGGUAAAUGGUUUACCGCAUAUAACUAAUUCCAUUGCUAGACAGUAGCUACUUUGCAAAAUUUUCACAUUAUACAAAAUAGCAAUAUUUUCAAGCAUUUCAAUUACAGUAAUAAAUACAUAAAAUCAUUUAUGCCAACUUCAUCCGUACUUUAUGCAUAUAAAAUAAGCUAUACCAAUAUCAACACACUUCAAUUUGAAUAAAUUUAGAUAAUACUAUAAAAAAUCAAUAUAGAAAGAUUUGAAAUAUCAAAUAUACAUAAGAAUCCAAAAAAUGAUAAAAAAAUCAAGUCCCCUCCAUCCCCCUCUUAUGCUCGCCUUCGUCCCCUACCACGUUCACGUCCGCAUCCACGAUUGCCUCAUUGACUCCGUCCUCGAAUAUGCAUGUCAUGCUCCAUCUCAGGCUGCACGGACUCAAUAACAUGCAUUUGAUCAAUGUGCUCGAUGGCGAUGCCCUCGACAAUCGACUCCAUCCUUUGCUCAACAGCUGAUCGUAGUAUCCCUUCCUAUGUCUCAAUGUGACCCUGUCGUCGUCGCGUAUGUUGAUAUACGACAUCAUCGCGACGAACUUGCGAUGUGGAUGGAACAUCAGAAGGAUGGAAAGACAUGAAUGAAAUAUCAAAAUAGAAUAUGUCUGACGUAGAUGGAAUAUAAAAUGGAGGGAUGGAUGCUGACGGGAUAUCAAACUGCACUUCCGAUGUCGAAGGGACAUCAAAAGUCGAAGGGACAUCAGAUAGAUGAAUUGGGACGGAUGUCGAUAGAAAAUCAAACGCAGGCAUGGAGGUAGAGGGAAUAUCACCGAAAUCAUAUGCAUGCAUGAAGGUGGAGGGAAUAUCACCGUAAUCAUCGAAAGUCUGAGAAGAAAUAUCCGGAUGCCCUAUCACGGGUAAUAUCGGAAGGCUCUUUAACACACUCUCGAGGUCCCACCUUACAUAUGCUUGAGUAUCUAUCAUUCUAGAUGGCUCCGGAGGAUCAUCCAUCAAAUAACCAAUACUGCUAACAGCAUGCCACAUAGCAUCCACCUAUAUAAAAAUACAUGAUUAUAUAUAAUAAAUAUCCUUAUAUUAAAAUAAACUAUAAAAUAAAAUUAUCUUACCAAUCUUCGCUCGAUAUGCCCACAUGGCAGAAAAGUAAGUGGAGGCCGCUAUACAGGACGAGAAAUCCACCUCCUUGUAAUUCUCCAAUACCACUGCAUGUACACAGAGGUGGCUCGUAUCAAAUCUAGAUCGAUGAAAGGACUCUGCUCCGCAAUAUGCACCAGACGAUUUGCCCAACGUUGAAUAUAUGGAGCAUGAAACGCUGCCCAGUCCUUACCUUAUCUACCCUGCAAUGUGAUUCUCUGUAUAGCUUCUACGGGAUCCGGUAUAUGUUGCAGUAAUCGAAACUAAUGCAGAACUCUAUCAGAUAGAUGUAGCUCCACAAUAUGAUAGCAUAUCAAGUAAGUUCUCGAACACCAGACUGCAGAGCCUUCGAGACAAAAUGCAGGAAGACUGUUCAAAACAUCCUCCGUGUAGAGCAUCCAUAUAACCUGUACAAGUGUAUUAAAAAAAAAUAAAUGUAAGAUUUUAGAAUGUAUGUGUAUGUAUUUAUUUCAUGAAAUUUAUAUGUACUUGUGACUCUCUCUCUCUGCUAAUCUAGCUCCUAGCGGUAAAACUCAAUGUCAGUCACCCUGACAUUUCCACGAAAUCGCAAUCCCGUGUUCCACCUGCAGAAGUGAUUAGUAGUAUAUUUUAUUAUUUUAUAAUACAUCAAUACAUUAUCAAAUUUUAUUAUUUUAUUAUAUUAUAUUUAAACACAUAGCAUACCGACAACCCAAUCGACAAUCAUGGAGAUCCGGUGAAGCUCCAACUCGAUCUGGACGCCUAAUGUGUAUAUGGUCCCAUGCCCAUAUCUAAGAACUAAAAAAGUUAAUUAUAAAAUUAGUCAAAGAAACUAAGUUAUGAUCGUGAUAACUAGUGAAAUAGUGAUUUGAUCUGUAGUAGUGUACCAAAGGCACAACAUUCGGCCUUUCCCUUCAUAGAGGCAUUUCCUAAUGCCCGAUAGAGAUGGUCCAAGAUAGCUGCGCUCCAAGUUAGGCCUCCGCAGAAGUCAAAAUUUUCAAGUAGCGGUAGCCACUUGAGGUGAACUCGAUAUCCGGUGGGGUUAGGAAAUAAACUGCAUCCAAUUUAAAAUAAAAUGUAUGCUCGCACAAAUGCUGCAACCAUGGCCGGCGGAGCAUCCAAAAGAACAUGCUGGGAAUGCUGAAACAACCACUCCAAGCGGAUCUGGCCGGCGACGAUAUCAUCUAGCUGUAUCCCAAGAAGGUGCUCACAUGUAUGCAACAAAUCAAAUGAAGCACGUCCCAUAAUAGGCUCCUCGGAGACUUGUAGUCCAGCUGUAACGGCCACGUCACGUAGCGUAACUGCCAUCUCUCCGUGACGUAGGUCUCGCGCCUCCAUCACUCUAUCAACGCUCCUAAUAGAGCCUGAUCAAGCUGUACUCAUCUGAGGCGGGAGACGUAGAAAAAUCCAGCAUGCCGUAAAUGCUCUAUCACUCCCGGAUUGCUUGACUGUCCAUGUAUUCAAUUUACGGCCAUGCUCCAUAAACUAAACUCGCACAUACCUUUAUAUUGUUUAUUCACUUUUUAAAAAGUUUCCCUUUUAAGUAUUUAAAUUACAAACUUUUAUGUACAUGCAUAACUUAACAUACCUCUGAUCGCACGUAGCGUGAACGAUGCCUAGCCUGGUCUGAUAGAACUGAUGGAUCAACUGACCCGGGAUCCUUGUGAUCGUCCAUCUGCAAAAUAAAGUAUACAAAUUAGUGACUAUUAAUUGAACGUUAAAAGAUAAAUCUAAAAAUAAAAAUAGUGUAGAUAGUCAAACAUAAGUCAUCAACCUAAAGCUCUACGUCUACGGCCUUCAUUUGUUCUAUGUUGAUUAUUUGGACAUGUAGUCCUAUAAUGUUCUUGUUGUUUACAAAUAGUGCACAUAGUUCUUCGCAUUCCUUCACUCUCGUCUAUGGCGUUUCGAAUACGAGUUGAUUGCGGACGGCCUUUCUUUCUCCUGAUAGGUGGGGGUGCCAGCGGUGGUCCUUGAGGGCGUGGCCAGCUUCUUUUGUCUGGGACGGUGAAAUUGCGAGAAGUAAGCACCACGGUAAUACUCACAUGUAUAUUUUUCCAUUCAGAACAUAGACUAUAGUAGUCAAUGUUCAUUUGACCGUUACUGCAUACAGCUAGAAGAUGUGAGCAUGGCAACCUAGUGAGCUCAAACUCAUUGCAUGAACAAGUCGGGCUUCUCCCAUCAAGAACCAUCUCAAAUUUUUCAUUUCCGGUAGUAAUUUGAAACUCGUUUACUUUGAAGCGAUCACACGGUGUCCUCUUGCGAUUAUCAUAUAACUCUUAAUUAGCGCCUCCUGUUUUGGUGCCAACACUGUAGAGUAUGUUUGUAGUACACUGAACUUGAGCAAAUUGCGAAGUUCGAGUGUGGGGAUGAUAAUUGGAAUUAGCCGACAUCUUCUAAAGGGUUUAGAGAUAUUUGUAGACAAGUUUGAGAGUGAUUAGGCCACUGGAAGCGAGGAAGUGCAUUGCUACUGCAGUUUCUACACUUUCUGCAUUGUUGUACUGGUACAACAUUGAGUCUGUAUCGGUACAACAAGCAUUAGCAGCAGCAGCUGCGUGGUAGCAGGGAGAAUUUGGUCUUUUUACAUCUCAAGUUUAUCUCUAAUAUCCCUACACGACACUAGCAGCUGCUUUGAAGGUGCUAGAGCUUUGAGAGGCAGGGUAGAAGGCUUCUCUUCUUCUCUCUCCAGAUUUCUCUCUCUUAAUGCAUGGAAUGGUGGGUUUGAGCUUAAUUUCUUCUCCUACUUGAUGCUAGUUGGUUUGGAGCCUUGAAGAAUAGCUUCUGGAGCUGAGGGGGAGGCGUUUUGAUAGUGUUUUUCAAGUAUCUCACAAGGAAUAGCUGAGAGGGAGCUUUUGAAAGGUAAGUAGCUCAAUUUUCUCCCUAGCUCGAUUAGUAGUUUGGGAUUUUGAGUGUUUUGAUCCCUUGCUGUCAGCCACGGUUGAGGGAAGUUCCAGCAGCAAGAGAAGAGCUUCUUUGCUGUAAUUUCUAUACCUUAGUUCAAGGAAGAAGCUGAAUUGAAGCUUUAAGAAGUAAUUAGCUGAUUACUUAACCUUUUUGAUACUAUACAAGGUUUAAUAGUGACUAUUGAUGCUGAUUUCGAGUAUAUUGUUGACAGCAACCAUGAACACCACUUGAGCUGAGAUUAUGACCUAGGUGAGCUGGUUUGGAAGUAUUCCAACCCUCAGGGAGUGGGAUUCCAAGUUCAGAAGUUGAAUAAGUGAGAUUUUAACCUAUAUUACAUAGAGUACAACGGUAUUGAGGCUGUUUUGAGGCUAAUUCUGUAACGACCCAGCCCACUAGCAAUAAUAACUCGUUGGGCCCAACCACCGGCCCAAAAUAUUUAAGCCCAGUUAUUAUUACUAGUGUCUAAGUCUCUUAUAAAGACAAUGAUAAUUCCAUUCCCAUCCGAUGUGGGAUUAUUAGGGUGUCACAGACUCCCCCCGUUAAGGCCCUGACGUCGACGUCAGUCCAAUCACACACACAGCCCAAGAUCACCAGGCGAUGUGAGACUCGUCUCGCUAGCCCGUCAACCAGACCCUGGCUCAGCCGAAACUCGCCACACAUUGGACGUCAGUCCAAUCACACACACAGCCCAAGAUCACCAGGCGAUGUGAGACUCGUCUCGCUAGCCCGUCAACCAGACCCUGGCUCAGCCGAAACUCGCCACACAUGUCCAGCUGGUGAACCGGCUCUGAUACCAAAUGUAACGACCCAGCCCACUAGCAAUAAUAAUUCGUUGGGCCCAACCACCGGCCCAAAAUGCUUAAGCCCAGUUUUUAUUACUAGUGUCUAAGUCUCUUAUAAAGACAAUGACAACCCCAUUCCCAUCCAAUGUGGGAUUAUUGGGGUGUCACAAAUUCGCAGCAGGUUUUGCCACAGGUUAUUAGAUGGUUCUCGGUUGAUUUCUGGGAGCUUGCGAAGGUUGAACUUAGUGCCUUAACCUAAACCGAAGCAGGGAUUAAAGCUGUAGCCUAGGGAUGUCAAUGGGUAUGGAUACGCGAAAUUUUAUCCGAACCCGAACCCGAAUGAAAACGGAUAUAUCCGAUGGAUGUGGAUAUGGAAUCGGAUAUGGAUAUAAAAAAUAGAAACCCGACGGAUAUGGAUUCGGAUAUGGAUUUUGAUUGUACUCAUAUAUAUAUAUAUAUAUUUUAUGUUUUAUUUAAGCCCAAACCCAGCCCAAGCCCAAGUCCAAGCCCAAGCCCAGNNNNNNNNNNNNNNNNNNNNNNNNNNNNNNNNNNNNNNNNNNNNNNNNNNNNNNNNNNNNNNNNNNNNNNNNNNNNNNNNNNNNNNNNNNNNNNNNNNNNUAAAAUAGAAGUGAAAUCUCAAUAUAGUCCUAAUUCUCAACAAUAUAUUUCAUCAACAACAUCCAUGCAUACAAUCAUAACCAACCAAAGCCAAAAAUAGAUUAUUGAACCUACUACAUGCAAUAUAAGCAACAAAAUCAUUAUCAACCCUAUAGAACAUAAGCAAGAGGCAAAGACUCAACUUAAACUGAGACAAUAGAAGCUGCCCGAAUACUUCGGGAUGCAUCCCCACCUGGGUACCGGAACACUCCCAGACGCCCUUGCGCUACCUUGUCGCCGCUUAAGUCGUGGUCACUUAACCCUUAUCGCUGUAAAGCAAAUCUUUAGCCAGCUCGGACGACACCUUCUUCGCCUACGCGUAAAACAUAGCAAAGUUUCUAACACCUCAAAAACAAACCUCACAUUAACAAAAUCCCCAAAAUCUAACCCUAGGUUAGAUCCAUGAAAGCUAUGGAUGCAUACUUUCAAGUAGCAAAUCCAUGUCUCUUUAAGCCAUUAUCCAUUAACCAUCAAGAACAACAAAAACCAUCCAAACCCUAGAAAUCAACCAAUACCAUGAAGGCUGACUACCUAGGUCUUGCCCAACAGCCUAGGUCAAAAACACGAUAAGAAGGGGGGCCCUCAAAAACCCUCUUCCCCUUCUCUCCCUCCUUUUAAUCCUCUCUUUUUCCUUCUUUUCCUGUCUUCUUUUCUUCUCCUGUUCUCCCCAACCGGUUAAGAAAGAAGAACUAAGAGAGAGGGGCUGUGAGAAGAAGGCAGAGACUAGAUGGAGGGGGGGUAAUACCAAUUAACAAAAGCAAAAGCCCUACCUUACAGAUUCAAGCUUAACCCGCUGCCUCCCCGCGCUCGGUGUACCCGACAAGUUCCUACCGCUACCCCUGCAAACGGCCAAACCCAGACAAACCCGAGGCGCCCAGCCGGCAGCGAUGGCGAUCCUGGUACAGCCAUUCAUUCUUACCGUACACCAGCUCCAGAAAGCUGUUUCUCGAUCUGUUUCGAUUUCUUUUCGCGUCCAACAACGCUAAAACUAUUCCAACACUUUUGGAACUCAUUUUUACUCUUCCAAACAUGUUGAAAUACCAAAUGGGACUUGUCCCAAACUUUCGUUUGCUCACUUUGGUCCAUUGUGCCAAAGUUAGCCGAUAUCGUCGAAUUUUGAUAUCUUACACAAUCGGAGAGGACGAUACAAAUACUUGAGGAUAUGCUUCGAGCGAGUGUACUUGACUACAAGGGCGGUUGCCACAAUCAUCUACCGAUGGCGGAGUUCGCGUACAAUAAUAGUUAUCAAGAGAGUAUCGCGAUGGCACCAUUCGAGGCCCUUUAUGGAAAGAAGUGUCGCUCUCCAAUCCAUUGGAGCGAUGUGGGUGAGAGAGCGGCUCUCGGCCCCGAUGUAGUGCGGGAAGCGGAGGAGAAGGUUCGCCUCGCCCGCCAACAGCUGGCUACAGCGCAAUCCCGGCAAAAGAGCUAUGCCGACAGACAGAAGAAGGAUAUAGAAUUUGUCGUUGGAGACCACGUGUUCCUAAAGGUAUCGCCGAUGCGAGGAAUUAGACGGUUUGGGCUCCGGGGGAAGCUAAGUCCCCAGUGCCUCGGACCGUUUGAGGUAUUGGAGUGGGUCGGCGCGGUGGCGUACAAGAUAGCAUUACCACCGAGGCUUGCGGGAGUGUAUGAUGUAUUUCACGUAUCGAACCUCCGCAAGUAUGCUCACGACCCCGAUCAUGUUCUCUCGUUCGAACCGUCCGAGAUCCAAGAGGACAUGACCUAUGAGGAGUUCCCGACAUACAUCAUCGAUCGAGAAGUAAGAAAACUACGAAAACACGAGAUUCCGUAUGUUAAGAUUCGUUGGUGCAAUCACGAUGAUUGGGAAGCUACUUGGGAGCUCGAGAGCGUAAUGCGGAAGCAUUAUCCUCAUCUCUUUAACGAGCUGAAUUGAGGUAUGAGUUUAAGUCUAAAUUAAGCAAGUUUCGCGGACGAAACUAAUUUUAAGGGGUGGAGAAUGUAACGUAUCGAAACCUCAAUAGCGAUUAUCGAACUUUAACCAAAUUGGUUAAAGCGCCGAAACAAAUGGUUGGAUAAGUUCCAUUUUGCAUUCCAACAAGGUUGGAAGGACCAAAAUGAGUUAAGAAGUGUUGGAAUGGUUUUGGCAUUGAACGACACGAAGUAGAGUCAAGUCGAAACCAAAACAGCAUUCUGGAGCAUUGUGUACCGGUACACCAUGGUGGUUGUACCGGUACAGUAAGCGAUCACAGGCUGCUCUCGGGUUUGGGUAGCCUGGGUGGUGUACCGGUACGGGACCCCGUGUACCGGUACACACCCUGCAAAAACAAGAGAGUUUACUCUCGGGUUUGGGCCUCUGCGCAGGUCCGUACCGGUACACAAACCCGCGUACCAGUCCACAGCGGCUCUAGUAGCAGGGAUGAGUCUGCUGCAGAAUAGAGAGUUGAGGGGUCUAGUUGCUAUUGUUGCAACAUGUUAUUACCCCUACACCCUCUUCCCCUCACAGCAGCACCCCAACUCCCUCUCUUUCUCUCAUUUCUCUCUUCAUCUCUCUAGAACUCUUGGGCUAAGGGCUUGGAGAAGAAGGAGAAAAAGCUUAGAGAAGGUGGUUUCGGAGCUUUGGUGGUUCAAGAAGCUCUCCUACAAGAAGGCCUUGGUAGAGCUUGGGACAAGAGGUAAGUUUUUGCAAGAUAUCUUCUAGGGUUAGGAUUUAAAUCCAAAGUUUUGGAGUUUGAACUUCUUAGAGGUUUUAGAAGCGUGUUAGAGCCAUGAACACCAUGAAACCCUAGUUUUCUUCAUGGUGCUCUAAUGGGGGAUUUCUAGAGUUUGCAUUCUAAGCCUUAGAGAUGGUUGGGAUAGUUCUAAAUGAGCUUCUAGAGGUUAGACAAGCUCUCUUUUGCUUGUUCUAGAGAUCAAAACCUAGGGUUUAGCAAUGGGUUUGGUUAGGGCACCAAAUUUGGGGCUUUUGCCCUAGAUUUUUUCGGGGGCGAAUUCACCCCGUAGAAACCUAAUUGGGGGUGUCCUCAACGCAUGGGAGAACUCCGUUUAACGUUACGAAAAGGUUUAGAUGGAGUUAUUGAUAAAAAGCUUAAUUCGGCUUCGUUUUGCCGCAGGCGAAAAAGUAAAGCUUCAAAAAUUCCAAGAAAUUCACCGUAGCAUCCUCUCAACCUUCUAAAGUGGGUGGUGCAUUCCAAGGACCUCGGAAAUUCCUUUAUGUCUAAGUGUCAUGUUUUGAGCAUAUAUACAUAUUUGAGCAUAUUGCAUAAUAGGGUUAAAUAGUGAACUUUUUAUAACAUGAUGUAAAUUCAAAUACAUGUUAAAUACUUGGAAGAAUGUGAGAAUGAUAAUCCCUAUGUAUGCAUGAACGUGACAAGAAUCUAGAAGGGUUAGUAAACAAAAGUAACACCAUGACAUAGAUCUAACGAGUGGCAUCGAUGAGUCUAGAACACUUAGAAAACAAGUAUGGCAUUUGGCAUGAGAACAAGAACAUAGCACUUAGAAAACAAAUGUGGCAUGAGUACAAGAACUUGGCAGUGUAUAUGACACUAGUGAUAGUAAAGAAUGCAAAGAAAAGAAUGAUUGAGACAUUAUGACAUUUCAACCUUAGAAUUAAGGGUCAUUUGAGCAUGGUCUUCCUUAAAGUUAAGGAAUGGAUGAACUUGGAAUCCUCAAUGUAGGAUUGAUCGUACUCACCUUUAGUCCUUGCUUGAGGGUGGUAGCUCCUCCUCGGGCGAUGUGCUCCAGAGUUGACAUCACUGGGUUGUAGCGGGUAUCUCCCCAGAGGACAGUCCUAUCGGGUUUUAGCGGGUAUCUCCCCGGUUAUUAGGAUUUUGGGUUGGUGAGUUUGUUGAAGGCGAAACCUACGAGUUAGCCAAGAGAUUCGAUAAAGAAAUUGUGAUCCUGCAUUCAUCAUGAGCAUUAUAUCGAGCAUCGCAUUUUAUAUUGUUCAAGCAUAUUAGUUCCAUUUGCUAGUUGGUUACUUUCUUUCCUCUAUUCUAUUAUGCCUUAUUAGACCUAGUGGGAUAGUCGGCGUGGUUGGUUGCCGAACCCACUGAAAACUUUGUUGUAGUUCUCACACCCCUAUUUCUACAGAGCCGGGACCGAGCGAGCCGGCUGACGAUCGCGGUAAGGGCAUCGCGCCCUAGUUAGAGACCUCCCGAGUAGUUAUCAUUUUGUAGUCGCAUACCCUCUACUUAUACAUCAUCUUUUGUAUUUAUACAUCAUCUUUUGUAUCUUGAUGAUUAUGCUAUUAUGAACAUGUUAAAUGAAUGAUGUAAAAAGAGUUUAUAUUUAAAUGCAAGAAUUUAUAUUUGAGAUCAUGCCAUGUAAAAGAGAAGAAAUGAUGCAAAAUUGUAAUUGAUUUCCUAAGUGUAGUUUAUUACUUUCACUAUGGGCUAUUGCUUGCCCUCGUGCAAGCCAGUGUGUAUGCUUCCGCUUAUGCAAAUUGUUACUCUAUUGAUACUUGUCGUUGAGCCUUGGGUGGACAGGGAAGGCUCUGUCCGUUCGGCGUCUAUUUGACGCUCUCGAACCGGCCAAAAGGAUCGGGCUCGGAGCGUGACAUACGAUCCUAUCAUACAGUGCUAACUAUAUAAGAUAACUAUGAAGAUCCAUUUAUAUAGUUCUAAUUGUUUUAUGUCGAAUGGAAUACCUAUAGUGGACUAAAAUACACCUUUAGCAACAUAAAGGACAAUACUGAAGGAAAAUGAAAUUGUCUCAUUAUACAGACAAGCAUCUGCCUACAGUAUGAUGCAUCAAGCAGGUGUAGACAAUGGCUUCAAGAUGAACGGUGUCACGCCCGGAGCCUCGCCUAUUUGGCCGGUUCGGGCACGUCGAACAGACACCGAACGGACAGCACCUCCCCUGUCCACCCAAGGCUAACCACAAGAUCAUGUACAAGAAUUUGUCCAGGAAUAAUUC
rnacentral:lncRNA from 1 species